rnacentral:lncRNA from 1 species
UUUGUUGGCAUUUACCCGAUCUGAUUUUUCCCAUUACCAUUUUGAGUGACAGUCGAUUGGUUGCUGCUGCCAGAUCCAGUAAACCUAAUUAAUCCCGAGUGACCCCACGAUGGAAGAUCGGUGACUGUAGAGCAAAAAUGUAUGGUCGGUGCGGUUCAUUUGUGUCCACCCAACGACGACACUCUUAUUUUCGUUGAUCGAGAGCACCAAAGGAAACAAAUUACUCCGUAGUACUUAUAGGUCUCUGGUUUAUCGUGAAAAAAAGUACUCCGUAGUACUUAUAGGUCUCUGGUUUAUCGUGAACUUUUCUCUUGCGAUGGUACUUUCUGUUAUAGACUUUGAAGUUCCUACAAUGCGCUCGAUCAACUUACGUGACAUGCCACUGGUUGCAGUGUCUGUCAAGAUUUCUACACUCCCUUCCAGUUCUUUGCAACAUUUGAAAUACAACACUAAUGAUCACAGAAGGAAUUAAGUGCAUCGGGCCAAUGCAUGUGAUUUCAUUCCACGAUAACAGAUAAACGGGGGUCUUCAUACAGGACAUGCAUACAACCUUGCAAGAACACGGAGGCGAUGCAUGUGUUCUAUACAAGGUCACCGUGCAACGCGCACGUACGUAUGCGUACGCACGCAUAUAUGCACCUUCCCUUUGCUCACCACGGACCAUGUUUAUUUACUUUAGUAAUUUAAUACUAAUUACUAUGCACGUAGGCGUGCAGAGCAACGGCAUGCACGUAGAGUUCGACGCAGGUAGGCACUGGGCAGUACUGCCUACCGUACGUACGUACGUAUGCAUGGCUGCAUUUCGUCUCGAUCGUGUGCUCAGUUGCGGACCUCCGCCGGCGCCCGGUACAUGGGCUCCGGAACCUCGUCCGCGCGCGCACAGCAGCGGCAGCCAUGGUGAUGGAAGAGCCCGUGCCCGCAGCAGCCCCAGUGACAUCCGCCGCCGCCGUAGCCUCCGCCGCCUUUUCCGCCGUGGCCACCGCCACCGCCACCGUAGCCUCCUCCGCCGCCUGGGUAGCCGCCGCCGCCGUAACCUCCACCGCCUUCCCCACCGUGGCCAGGGUAGCCGCCACCGCCGCCGUAGCCUCCACCGCCUUCCCCACCGUGGCCAGGGUAGCCGCCACCGCCACCGUAGCCUCCUCCGCCUUCCCCACCGUGGCCAGGGUAGCCGCCACCGCCACCGUAGCCUCCUCCGCCGCCUGGGUAGCCGCCGCCGCCGUAACCUCCACCACCUCCUCCGUAGCCUCCGCCGCCGCCGUAACCUCCUCCACCUCCGCCAUAGCCUCCCCCGCCGCCUCCGUGCCCGUGGUGGCCUCCGCCAAAGUGGAAGAAGUUCUUUACGCCGGCUUCAUUCUCUUCCUUCUUGGCCUCUACAUGGAGAGAAACAAAAGGGUGAUGGAAAUUAGUAGCUAACGCAGCAAAGCAAGUUUCUUAGCCUAAUGACGAGAGCAAUUAAUUUAACUCCUGCCAGUUCAAAACUGCUCCGAGGAGUUGGUGCAUUAGCUCACCAGGGUGUUCGUCAGUCGAGGCUACGAGGAUAGCAGCAGCAAGCAGGAGAGCGAACACAAGAAGACCCUUGCUGGAUGCCAUGCCUGGCAUCUGCCUCUUCGUGGUCGCUGUGGUUACUGGCUGGCCAGUGUGAUGGAUGAGAUACAGAUUAGCAUGCAGAGCAGGCGAAUUUAUAGGAGGGAGAGGCCGAUGGAGGGCUUGGAUACGAUAGAUAGCUCGGGAUCACGAGGAGCUGCGAGCCUGUGACUGUGAGCGAGCUGAGGUUGGGUCCCCAUGGCCAUGGCGUCGUCGUCGGCCCGUGGAGUGAUGGUGGUUGGGAGAAGGACGGCACGCAUUAAUGGUCGAUCCCAGCAAUCUAGCAUGGAAAUAGCUAAGCUCCGCGUCGUCCGGAGGAGUACCAAUGGGCAAUGGCGCCAGCCUCCCCUCUGACGCCGAGCAUACUCUGGAUCGGAUGUCUUCUUCUGCAUGUGCAGUUGCGCACUGCGCGGGGUGGGUGCUGCUCGCGCGACGCGAAGAUAAAGUUUGCAUGCACGCACCAAUCUCAUUAAUCAGCUCCGCUACAAGUUACACACGGACUCGCAUGUGUAUCCAAAUCGGCCGAGCGGAUUCUGGAUCGGAUAUCUUCUUCUCUUCAUCUGGAAAACGGACGUGGAGCAUUGCUGAAUGUUCCUACGAUAAGUCAUUUUCGCUUACAUGGUGGGUAGUCACACAUAUAUAUCACAUGCAGAGUAAACUUAGGUGAUUCGGUCUGCUUAAUUACAUGUAUAUGUGUUUCUUUACGAGAUAUGUCACUCGCUUGAUCAAUGCGCACGCACGCCGGCACGCGUGCAUUACUCUGCAUAAAUAGACACACUCUGUUAAUCCUAUAGUUUGGACUAAUGGAAAAUCCGUCUUUGCCGAGUUCUCAGCCUUUCACCAAGUUCCCUUUCAUGGGAGGUCGGCUAAAAAGAUCUCUACCGAGUAUAGUUCUCGGUGAUUUCUCGGACUUGGCAGCCACCACUCGUUACCGAGAGUCCGCCAAAAAGGACACGACAAGAACACAUAACUCGGCUUAUAAGUUCUUUACCGAGGGCUCAAAAAAUAGAACUCGGCAAUACGGCAGAAACCAUACACAUAGGAAGCACUACCAGAAUAACCGGCGAUGCCGACGGCGAAACCUAUGCCGACGGCCCCCGUCGGCAUAGAUGGGUGUAUUCCGACGGCCCAGCUCAAGCCGUCGGCGUAUAUCCAUCUAAGCCUGGGCUAUGACAACCAGGUGAAAAGGUCUACCGGUCAAACCCCGUCCGGCGAAAGUCAAAGGGCUAGACCCGGCGGUCGUCUGUGUCAGGGUUAGAUGGGACGGGGUACCUGGAGGGGGGAGGGGCGUAGCAAUGCCGCGAGGUGUUGCGGUGGGCCCUCCUAUGGUUGUGGAAGCGUGGUGGCAGGCGCAGGCACCCGGCACGCAGCUCCGGGGUGUGCCCCCCUCACGGGUGUCGCUGCCGCCGUGUCUCGGAGGGGGGAAACGGCCACGUCGGGCCGACAUGGAGGGAAACUUUGGGUGGGUUGGGCCGGGACGGUGUUGGGGGUGUAGCUAUGGGCUGGGCUAUGACAACUAGGUGAAAAGGUCCACCGGUCAAACCCCGUCCGACAAAAGUCAAAGUGCUAGAUCCGGCGGUCGUCUGUGUCAGGGUUAGACGGGACGGGGUACCUGGGGGGGUAGCAAUGCCGCCAGGAGUUGCGGUGGGCCCUCCUACGGUUGUGGAAGCAUGGUGGCAGGCGCAGGCACCCGACACGGGGCUCCGGGGUGUGCCCCCCCUUACGGGUGUUGCUACCGCCGUGUCCCGGAGGGGGGAAACGGCCAUGUCGGGCCGACACGGAGGCACUAGUAGAAAAUGGCCCAUUUGUCCCGGUUUCGGAACCGGGACUAAAGGGUCGGUACUAAAGCCCAAUACCUUUAGUCCCGGUUCGCCUACAAAAGGGACAGAUGGGGCUCCACGUGGCUGUUGCGGCUUGCCCAGGCAGGAGGGCCUUUUGUCCUGGUUGGUAGCACCAACCACGACCAAAAGGCAUCCACACAUCAGCAGUUCAAGGGCUGGGGUUUUUGUUUUNNNNNNNNNNNNNNNNNNNNNNNNNNNNNNNNNNNNNNNNNNNNNNNNNNNNNNNNNNNNNNNNNNNNNNNNNNNNNNNNNNNNNNNNNNNNNNNNNNNNNNNNNNNNNNNNNNNNNNNNNNNNNNNNNNNNNNNNNNNNNNNNNNNNNNNNNNNNNNNNNNNNNNNNNNNNNNNNNNNNNNNNNNNNNNNNNNNNNNNNNNNNNNNNNNNNNNNNNNNNNNNNNNNNNNNNNNNNNNNNNNNNNNNNNNNGUGGUUUUGUAGGGUUAAUUUAGGGGUUUCAUAUAUUGUGUUAGCUAGCUAAUAGAGAGAAGUGUCCUCUCUAAUCUCCGUGCUUGGUCGACGCUACGUACUAUACGUAUAUAGAGGACUCGACACGCUAGCUAGCUAGUAAGCAACUGAAGGAAACCAUUAAGUACAGAAGAUCGUCAUGAAAAUAUACAGAGAGAAGUGAUCGACCUUUCCUUCUCCGAGAGAUUGGUCGAACAACAAGUUUUCGUAUAUCUAUCCGACGCUACUGGCUACAUAUAUACAAUAUAAGAUCUCUUACAAUCCCCUAACAUCUGAACUCAAGUUCCACAUGGUAUUCUGCGGCUUUAUCGAUUACGUGGUCAAGAAAGAAUCCCGCCAAUUCCUCUUGAAUUGCUCGUAUGCGAUCUUGUGGUAGGAGUUCAUCCCGCAUCUGAAACAUCUAAUUUGAAGAAGGGGGUCAAUACAUAUAUAUGAAUGAAACUCAACACAAAUGAUGGUAAUAAAAUAAAAUUGUGAAUAUUAUUGCUUACGCACUUCAUAUUGUUUUUUAGAGUAGCCCCGCUCACAGGUCGUGUGGCGGAUGAACUCGCAAACGUAGUAUGCAUAGUAAUUAUUCCCGGGUUCCUGCCACAAUCACUUUACAAGAAAUAGAGGUCAAUCAAACUGAUAAGCAAGCAUGCUAAAUGGUAUUAAUGAAACUAGCUAGAAUCAAUGGGAGAUGCGCGAAACUAGCUAGUAGUACUUACUUUCGGGUGUGUAAAUCGCAGCACCCCCGGCAGUCCCAGAGCUUCUGCGGUGAACUUUUUCCAAACCCUGCCAGACAAAGAAAACAAUUACUUGAUAUCAGGAAAUGAACAAAGUUGCCGAUAUGGUGCGAUAAUGAUUGAACUUACUUCUCGAGCAUUUUAGUCAUGGCCGCAUACUCCUCGGGAUCUUUUCGUCUCGAGUCUAUGACGGUUACUAGUCCCUGCUCCAGCUUAAUCUCUAGCGGAAUAAAGUGGAAGCUGCGCACACAUGCAUAACUCAUCAAUUACAUUACUAUAACCUCGAGUAAUAAGGGAAACCGAAUAUGCACAAGACAGUAACACUCACUUGAAGUUGUAAGGAAAGAAUAUUUUAUCUUUGUUUUGAUUUUGAAGCAACGAUCAUAGCAAGUUGGCCUCGAUUUGUUUGGCAUCAUAUUUAACAUUCCAUUCAUCUAUGAAAUUUGUGUUAAUGAACCCAAUAUCACCGAUUUGUCUUUUCUUGCAUUCGGCGAUCUUCAGUCUGCAUAAUAUAGUGAGGAUAAUUAUAUAUACAUGCAAUGAAAGAGCUGAGCUAUAUAUAGAGACUUAAUUACAGAAGUAGUACUUAUAGACAGUAGCAAGUGACGAUUGUUUUAUCGAGGGCCUUUUGAUUGAAAAACGGGAAGAAUUCCUCAAAUGGAACAAACAACAGAUCAAUUCCAACGAGGUCGUGCUCCUCUUUAACUCUCAGCGUCAAAGUAUCCUUCCCAGACUUGCUGCAGGUGUCCAUGUACCACUCAUGGAAUCUUCGCAUCAUCGUUGUUAUAGGAGGAUGACCAGGUUUGACGAGAGGCUUCCCGUGCCGGUAUUUGAAUUCGUCCACCUCCAUUGUAUCAAAAUGUGCAUCGUCGGGCAGGUAAUCUCCAGGAUUGGUACCGGACACCAUCCCCGGAUGAUUAGCGACGAUAUUGCUAGACACCUUGAGCGGGGGGCACGAUUGGUUCGCUUGUUCGCCGAGCUGGGGAAUUCCCACUUAUUUGUUUUGCUAACCUUCGAUCACUACAAGUACUUCCCAACCGGGACGCUUCCUUACCUUUCAAUAAUGCGAUCAUAGUUGGUUUGCGGCGGAGAAGGUCGUGGUCGCUUCAGGGCAUCCAAAGUGCGCUGAACUUUCACCUUAUCUAUCUUCUCCUCCGGAGGUGGAUGUUUCUUUGAAAAAAAGUCCUUCACAUAGGCUUGACAGAUCUCUAUGUUUUCCUCCUCGGUCAUCUCAUAUGGUAACUUCUCUAGAGGCUUGAGAGAUGGACUGAAUCUGUAUUACCUCCAGCCUCUGGCUGUACUGCUAGACGCCGGAGCAGCCGGAGUGGCUGCAGCUGUCUUCUUUUGUUGCUUACGAGGCGGAGAAGAAGGAGGCGGAGUGCUACGACGCGCCGGAGCAGCUGGAGCGGCGGCGGCUGUCUUCUGCUAUUGCUGACGAGGCGGAGGAGGAGGGGCGGGCUGCUCGGACGCGCCGGCGCAGGUGGAGAAGGAGGCGGAGUGCCGCCACACGUUGGAGCAGCCGGAGAAGGAGGCGGAGUGCCCUGAUCACUCACCGGAGGAGGAGGCAGAGGAGGAGGCGGAGUGCCCUAACUCACCGGAGGAGAAGGAGUCCAGUUCGGAAGGUUGAUGAGCUCCUUCCGCCAUAGACAUGGAGUCUUCAGAGUAAGACCCAGCUGAGUCUCCCCUUCACUGGUAGGGUGGUCAAGCUCGAGCUCCUCAAAUCCCUUCAUUAUUUCAUCGACCAUCACAACAGCAUAGCCUUGUGUAAUCAGAAGGCAGUGAAAAGUUGCGCUGGGUUCAGGAGGUGCAACAGAGCCGACAGCCACCUUGACUUUGAGGUGCUGCCAUUGCGCCAUAAGGUGGCAAUCUUGAACCUCCGUGAUAACAUCCACGGGGUAGCUGGGAGCCGUGAAGUCAGGCUGAUGAAGGAGCUCAGUGGAAUCCACGCUGCUUCUCCGAUGAGAUGGCGGGGUAGCUUCUGGGGUAGCUCUGGCAGGUCGCUGGCUGUGAACUGCUUGUUCCUCUAGCGCUCAUACCCUUGCAUUCAGCUUCUACAGUUCGGUCUGCUCCAUUUUCCUCUUCCUCUCCCGGGUUUUGUAACUGCCUGCACCGGGAAACCCAACCUUCCACGCAACGGAGCCUGCCGUGCCUCGUGUUCGUCCAGGGUGCUUAGGAUUGCCAAGGGCCUGUGUGAGCUCGUCGUUCUCUCUGUCGGGAACGAACGUCCCUUGCUGCGCUGCGGCGUUAUACUUCUGAAGCUUCUUCAUAGGUAUUUCCAGUUGCUGGUCCGUCCAACGGCACUUCCCUGUUUCAGGGUCCAAGGUUCCCCCAACCCCGAAGAACCAAGUCCUUGAACGGUCUGGCCAGUUCAAUGUCUCUGGUUUGGCCCCUUUAUCAAGCAGGUCAUUCUCAGCCUUGUCCCACAACGGCCGGGCUUUGAGGUAGCCACCUGACCCCGUGCGAUAGUGAUGCUCCUUCUUUGCAGCAUUUAUCUUGUUUGUCGCUAACAUCUUCUUACUCUUCUCCGAUGUCUUGUGGGCCACAAAUGCGGGCCAGUGAUCUCUUAUCUUCUCAAAUCGGCCGGUGAAUUCUGGAGUCUUCCCUUUGUCGACAAACGUUGAUUUCAACUCAUUCUUCCACCUCCUGAAUAGAUCUGCCAUCUUCUUAAGAGCAUGAGCCUUGACCAAUAGCUCUAUAACUGGCUUAUCCGGAUCCUCCUCUGGCGGUAGGGUGAAAUUUGCCUUCAGCGCAGUCCAAAGAUCAUCUUUCUGUCUAUCAUUGACAUAAGACACUUGAGGGCCUUCGCUCUUAGGCUUAUUCCAUUGGUGGAUGCUGAUCGGGAUCAUAUCCCUAACAAGAACCCCGGACUGAGCAGAAAAUGCUUCCUUGGUCCGGCUGGGUUCAAUCAGUUGGCCAUCGCCCUUGAUUGCUGUGAUCGUGAACCUUUCAUCCUGGCGCAACUAUUUCUUCGGGCCUCAUCUCGUUACCAAAGUUUGGCUCGAUCCGGAGGGCUAGAAAAUAAGAAAGAAAGAGAGUUAAUAUGUGUACAUACCAAAACAAUUAAUGCAUCAAUUAGCUAGUCAGCACAUGCUUAAUUAAUAUAUAUACCUGGCCGGGCUCCGUUCGGUCACCAAACCAGUCAUCACGGUCUCCUUCUUCCACCAGCAUUCGGUCACCGGAGCCAUCAUGAUCAUGUCCUUCCUCCUCCAUUGUUCGAUCACUGGAGCCUGCUUCACCUCUCCUUCCAAACAAUCGGUGUCGUUGAGAUACGACAAGACAUGACCUCCGCCGUGGAUUAUGCCCCCAACAACUGUUCUGCUUCCAAGUCUCGGUGCUCCAUAGUUUCUGCAAAUAUUACAACAUGGCAAUUAAUAUACAAACAUGACAGAUUGAUAUAUUAGUGGCAAACGUAGACCUAGCUAGCUAAUCACAACAAGGAAUCAUAUUAGUGGCCUCGACGCUUCUAGGGUUUGGGGUGGCCUUGACAACGCUUCUAGGGUUUGGGGUGGCCUCGACGACAACGCUCUUUUAACUUGGUAAAUUUGGGUGGCCUCGGCAAUGCUUCUAGGGUUUGGGGUGGCCUCGAUGACAACGCUCUUUUAACUUGGUAAAUUUGGGUGGCCUCGGCAAUGCUUCUAUGGUUUGGGGUGGCCUCGGCAACGCUUCUAGGGUUUGGGGUGGCCUCGACGACAACGCUCUUUUAACUUGGUAAAUUUGGGUGGCCUCAGCAACGCUUCUAGGGUUUGGGCUGGACCGCCUCUCUCAUGAUUGUCCGAUGUCCGGACCGACAAGGGAUUUAACAAAAUGGCGCCAUUCUAGAUUGCAGAAAAUGGUCCAUAUUUUCUUGAUCUCAUCUACCCUUCUAUAUGUAACGUUGUCUAGUGUCAAAGAAUUCAAGAAAACCAUGACUUCAUCAUUAGCCGGAAAUGAGAGGCGCAUAAUGGUACGAAGCUCUUUAAAGUUGUUUUGGAACGGGGUUCCCGAUAGAAUAAUUCACUUUUUUCUACAAAGUUCAGCAAGAGCCUUCCGAAUAUCGCUAUUUGGAAGGCCUUUGCUGAAAUUCGUACUAAAAUGUGAAUUAUUCUAUCAGGAACUCCGUUCCAAAACAACUUUGAAGAGCUUCGUAGCAUCAUAUGCCUGUUACUUCUGGCAAAUGAUGAAGCCAUGGAUUUCUUCAAUACUUUGACAGACAACAUGACAUACAGAAGAAUAUAUAUAUAUAUAGAUGAGAUCAGAAAAAAAUUUGGAUCAACUUGUGCACAUCCAUAAUGGGGGCAUUCUUGAUAAAUCUGGACCCUCGACCCCUGGACGACCCUCGACCCCUCAACGACCCUCGACCCUCGACCCCUCGGCGACCCUCGACCCUCUACCCUAGUUCACGACCCUCGACCGCUCGGCGAUCCAGGACCCUCUACCCUACUUCCCGACCCUCGACCCCUCAUGUCACGUUUGUCUAGUGUCAAAGGAUUCAACAAAACCAUGGCUUCAUCAUUAGGCAAAAGUAAUAGGCGCAUGAUGGUACGAAGCUCUCCAAAGUUAUUUUGGAACGGAGUCCCAGAUAGGAUAAUUCGCUUUUUGGUACAAAGUUCAGCAAGCGCCUUCCGAAUACCGCUAUUUGGAAGGCCUUUGCUGAAAUUCAUACCAAAAGGCUUAUUAUCCUAUCCGGGACUCCGUUCCAAAAUAACUUUGGAGAACUUCGUACCAUCAUGCCCCGGUUACUUCCGGCUAAUGAUGAAGCCAUGGAUUUCUUCAAUACUUUGACACAAGGCAACCUCUCGACCCUCGACCCCUCGACGACCCUCGACCCUCAAACCCUCGGCGACCCUCGACCCCUCGGUGUUCCUCGACCCUCGACCCCUCGACGACCCUCACCCCUCGAACCCUCGGCGACCCUUGACCCCUCGGUGACCCUCGACCCUCUACCCUAGUUCACGACCCUCGACCGCUCGGCGAUCCUCGACACCCUCGUUCCCAAUAAAAAUUAAGAAGAGGAAGAAGAAGAAAAAAAGAGGAGAAGAAGAAAAAAAAGGAGAAGAAGAAGGAAUAGAGGAGAAGAAGAAAAAAUAGAUAUCUAUUUUUUCUUCUUCUCCUCUAUUCCUUCUUCUUCUCCUUUUUUUUCUUCUUCUUCCUCUUCUUUUUUUUCUCCUCUUCUUCCUCUCCUCUUCUUCUCUUCUUCUCCUUCUUUCUCUUCUUAUUUUUUUCUCCUCUUCUUCUCUUUUUUCUCCCCUUUUUCCUCUCCUUCUUUUUCUUCCUUCUUCCUUCUUCCUUCUUACNNNNNNNNNNNNNNNNNNNNNNNNNNNNNNNNNNNNNNNNNNNNNNNNNNNNNNNNNNNNNNNNNNNNNNNNNNNNNNNNNNNNNNNNNNNNNNNNNNNNNNNNNNNNNNNNNNNNNNNNNNNNNNNNNNNNNNNNNNNNNNNNNNNNNNNNNNNNNNNNNNNNNNNNNNNNNNNNNNNNNNNNNNNNNNNNNNNNNNNNNNNNNNNNNNNNNNNNNNNNNNNNNNNNNNNNNNNNNNNNNNNNNNNNNNNNNNNNNNNNNNNNNNNNNNNNNNNNNNNNNNNNNNNNNNNNNNNNNNNNNNNNNNNNNNNNNNNNNNNNNNNNNNNNNNNNNNNNNNNNNNNNNNNNNNNNNNNNNNNNNNNNNNNNNNNNNNNNNNNNNNNNNNNNNNNNNNNNNNNNNNNNNNNNNNNNNNNNNNNNNNNNNNNNNNNNNNNNNNNNNNNNNNNNNNNNNNNNNNNNNNNNNNNNNNNNNNNNNNNNNNNNNNNNNNNNNNNNNNNNNNNNNNNNNNNNNNNNNNNNNNNNNNNNNNNNGGUUCUUGCCACCAACCGGGACCAAAGGUCUUUUUUCAACAGCCCAAAGGAUGGGAAACAGAGACCUUUGGUCCUAGUUGGUGGCACCAACCGAGACCAAAGGGGGGCAUUGGUCCCGGUUGAUGCCAUGAACCGGGAACGAAGGUGGGCAUUGGUCCCGGUUCGUGCCACCAACCGGGACCAAUGGGCCUUGCACAACGGCGUGGUGGGAGUUUAGUCCCACCUCGCUAGAUGAGAGAGAGCCGCACCUGUUUAUAAGGUGCGGUGCGCCUGAGCUGUCGAGCUCCUCUCUAAAGCAGGCUUACGGGCCUAACCUCUCUGUGCAUGCCUGUGGGCCUACUGGGCCUUCUGCGGGCCUGAAUCUUGGCCCACCUAUAUGGCUGGGUUUCUAGUCGUAUUCAGGCCAUGGUGGCCCAGUAGGCGGCAUUUUUUUUAUUUUUUUGUUUUGUUUUUUGCAUUAUUUAUUUUCUUUUGUUUUUUGCUUUGUUUUUUUAAUUCUUUUUGUUUUUAGGUCAGAAAAAUUAUAAACUUUCUAUUAGUGCCAUUAAUUUUCAAAUUUGAAUAGUUUAAAUUUGAAUUCUUUGAAAUUUGUGUGAAUCACUAGUUUGUGAUUAACUUUACUAUAAAAAUAGAUUUUGGAGUGAUUCUUUUUCCUAACAAAAAAAAUAGAUUUUGGAGUUUGUGAUUAACAGUUUUUGUUAUUUUAGUUUCUAACAAAAAACUUUAUGAUACUUCUUUUUGCUAUUAAAGUUUCUAACAAAAAAAGUUCUUUAUGAAAAUUAUUUUUGCUUUUAAUGUUUUGAAUAGAAAAUACUUUGAUAAUUUUAGUUGCAUAAAUUUUAUAUAAUUUUAGUUUCAAUAAUACUAGAGGUUUAUAAAAGCUUUUUAGUUGAUUCCUUUUGCUAUUAGACUUUCAUUAAAGUUUUCUAGUUCAUUCUUUUUUCUAUUAGAGUUUCAUUAAAGUUUUCUAGUUCAUUCUUUUAGUUUAUUAUUUUUGCUAUUAGUGUUUCAUAAAAGUUUUCUAGUUCAUUCUUGUUUAUAUUAGUUCAUUCGUUGAGCUAAAUGACCCUAAAAUUGAAAAGCACUUCAGAUGAACUCUUUCAUCCACAUAGCAUGUGCUAAAAAUUUGAGAGGGUUACGGCAAAAACUGGAUGCACUUCGUGUACAAAAUGGACAAUCUCUUUCGAAGUAUCAGGGUUUCGGACGAAAACUCAUCUGUAACAAAGGAUUUCAUUUUUUUGAACUUAUUUGAAAUCCAGAGUUUUUGUGUGUUCAAAAUGCACCAUUCAAAGCCACAUCAUCAAUUUUCAACCCUUUCUGACUUUAUUUGUUAUUUUUCAUGCAUUUACUGAUUUUUUUGAGCUAUAUGACCCUGAAAUUGAAAAGCACUUCAAAUGAACUCUUAAGGGGUUGAAAAUUGGCAUGAUAUCAUCAUUUCACCCACAUAGCAUGUGCUAAAAAGUUGAGAGGGUUACGGCAAAAACUGGAUGCACUUCUUGUACAAAACGGACAAUCUCUUUCGAAGUAUCAGGGUUUCAUACGGAAACUCGUCUGUUACAAAAGGCAUUUCAUUUCUUCACAUGUAACUGCAGUGAUAUUCUAGAUCAAAUGCAUCAUCAUAAUAGUUGUGGAGAGAAAGUCUUCAUUUUUUCUUCGCUUCUAUCAUUUGCUUAUUGCGCCGUAACCAUGGAUAUUCUUCAUCGCUUAACAGGGUGCUUGGGUCAACCUUGACUUUGAAGGGAGGAAUUUCAUGAAACUUUUCAUAAUCUUCAGACAUGUCUGUCUUGCCCUCCAAUCCCACGAUGUCUCUUUUUCCUAAAAGAACUAUGUGGCGAUUUGGCUCAUCGUAUGAUGUAUUCGCUUCCUUAUCUUUUCUUUUUCUUGGUUUGGUAGACAUGUCCUUCACAUAGAAAACCUGCGCCACAUCAUUGGCUAGGACAAAUGGUUCGUCUGUGUACUCAAGAUUGUUUAGAUCCACUGUUGUCAUUCCAUACUGUGGGUCAACUUGUACCCCGCCUCCUGACAGAUUGACCCAUUUGCACUUAAACAAAGGGACAUUAAAAUCAUGUCCGUAGUCAAGUUCCCAUAUGUCCACAAUGUAACCAUAAUAUGUGUCCUUUCCCCUCUUGGUUGCUACAUCAAAGAGGACACCACUGUUUUGGUUGGUGCUCUUUUGAUCUUGGGCGAUCGUGUAAAAUGUAUUCCCAUUUAUCUCGUAUCCUUUGUAAGUCAAUAAAGUCAAAGAUGGUCCCCUAGACAACGAGUACAGCUCAUCAGAAACAGUGUUGUCACCUCUGAGACGUGUUUCCAACCAACUGCCGAAAGUCCUGAUGUGUUCACAUGUAAUCCAGUCGUCACACUGCUCUUGGUGUUUGGAGCGCAGACUGUUCUUGUGUUCAUCGACAUACGGGGUCACCAAGGUAGAGUUCUGUAGAACUGUGUAGUGUGCUUGAGACCAACAAUGCCCGUCCCUACAUAUUAUUGAGUCCCCUCCAAGCAUGCCUUUUCCAGUCAGUCUCCCCUCAUACCGCGAUUGAGGGGGACCAAUCUUCUUAAGGCCAGGAAUGAAGUCAAGACAAAACCCAAUGACAUCCUCUGUUUGAUGGCCCAUGGAGAUGCUUCCUUCUGGCCUAGCGCGGUUACGGACAUAUUUCUCUAGGACUCCCAUGAACCUCUCAAAGGGGAACAUAUUGUGUAGAAAUACGGGGCCCAGAAUGACAAUCUCAUCGACUAGAUGAACUAGGACAUGUGUCAAGAUAUUAAAGAAGGAUGGUGGGAACACUAGCUUGAAACUGACAAGGCAUUGCGCCACAUCACUCCUUAGCCUUGGUAGGAUUUCUAGAUUGAUCACCUUCUGAGAGAUUGCAUUGAGGAAUGCACAUAGCAUUACAAUGGCUAAUCGAACAUUUUCCGGUAGAAGCCCCCUCAAUGCAACCAGAAGCAGUUGCGUCAUAAUCACGUGGCAGUCAUGAGAUUUUAGGUUCUGGAACUUUUUAUCUGGCAUAUUUAUUAUUCCCUUUAUAUUCAACGAGAAGCCAGACAGGACCUUCAUACUGAGCAGGCAUUCAACGAAGAUUUCCUUCUCUUCUUUGGUAAGAGGAUAGCUGGCAGGACCUUCAUACUGCUUUGGAGGCAUGCCGUCUUUUUCGUGCAAACGUUGCAGGUCCUCCCGUGCCUCCGGUGUAUCUUUUGUCUUCCCAUACACGCCCAAGAAGCCUAGCAGGUUCACGCAAAGGUUCUUCGUCAUGUGCAUCACAUCGAUUGAACAGCAGACCUCUAGGUCUUUCCAGUAGGGUAGGUCCCAAAGUAUAGAUUUCUUCUUCCAGAUGGGUGCAUGUCCCUCCGCGUCAUUCGGAACAGAUAGUCCGCCGAGACCCUUUCCAAAUAUUACGUGUAAAUCAUUGACCAUAGCAAGUACGUGAUCACCAGUGAAGGAAAUAUGCCCUAGAGGCAAUAAUAAAGUUAUUAUUUAUUUACUAAUUUCAAGAUAAAUGUUUAUUAUUCAUGCUAGAAUUGUAUUAACCGGAAACUUGAUACAUGUGUGAAUACAUAGACAAAUAGAAUGUCACUAGUAUGCCUCUACUUGACUAGCUCGUUGAAUCAAAGAUGGUUAAGUUUCCUAGCCAUAGACAUGAGUUGUCAUUUGCUUAACGGGAUCACAUCGUUAGAGAAUGAUGUGAUUGACUUGACCCAUUCCGUUAGCUUAGCACUUGAUCGUUUAGUAUGUUGCUAUUGCUUUCUUCAUGACUUAUACAUGUUCCUAUGACUAUGAGAUUAUGCAACUCCCGAAUACCGGAGGAACACUUCGUGUGCUACCAAACAUCACAACGUAACUGGGUGAUUAUAAAGGUGCUCUACAGGUGUCUCCGAUGGUGUUUGUUGAGUUGGCAUAGAUCAAGAAUAUGAUUUGUCACUCCGAUUGUCUGAGAGGUAUCUCUGGGCCCUCUCGGUAAUGCACAUCACUAUCAGCCUUGCAAGCAAUGUGACUAAUGAGUUAGUUGUGGGAUGAUGCAUUACGGAACGAAUAAAGAGACUUGCCGGUAAUGAGAUUGAACUAGGUAUUGGGAUACCGACGAUCGAAUCUCGGGCAAGUAACAUACCGAUGACAAAGGGAACAACGUAUGUUGUUAUGCGGUUUGACCAAUAAAGAUCUUCGUAGAAUAUGUGGGAGCCAAUAUGAGCAUCUAGGUUUCACUAUUGGUUAUUUACCGGAGAGGUGUCUCGGUCAUGUCUACAUAGUUCUCGAACCCGUAGGGUCUGCACGCUUAAAGUUCUGUGACGAUCGGUAUUAUGAAUUUAUGUGAUUUGAUGUACCGAAGGUAGUUCGGAUUCCCGGAUGAGAUCGGGGACAUGACUAGGAGUCUCGAAAUGGUCGAAACGUAUAGAUUGAUAUAUUGGACGACUAUAUUCGAACAUCGGAAAGGUUCCGAGUGAUUCGGGUAUUUUUCGGGGUACCGGGGAGUUACGGGAAUACGAGGAAGAAGUAAUGGGCCUCAUGGGCCAGGUGGUGGAAGAGAGGAGGCAGGGCGCGCGGCUCCCCUAGCCCAAACCGAAUUGGACUAGGGGGUCGGCCCCCGUUUCCUCCUUUUCCUCCCUCUCCUUCCUUCUCCCUCUCCUCCUUCCUUUCCUCCUCCUAGUAGGAGUAGGAAAGGGGAGUCCUACUCCUACUAGGAGGAGGACUCCUCCUCCUGGCGCACCCUACAGGGGCCGGCCGGCCUCCCCCUUGCUCCUUUAUAUACGGGGGCAGGGGGCACCCUAGAACACAAAAGUUGAUCAUUGAUCUCUCCCAACCGUGUGCGGUGCCCCCCUCCACCAUAAUCCACCUUGGUCAUAUCGUAGCGGUGCUUAGGCGAUGCCCUGUGACGGUAGCUUCAUCAACAUCGUCACCACGCUGUCGUGCUGACGAAACUCUUCCUCGUGCUCUACUGGAUCGUAAGUUCGCGGGACGUCACCGAGCUGAACGUGUGCUGAACGCGGAGGUGCCGUACGUUCGGUACUGAGGAUCGGUUGAUCGUAAAGACGUACGACUACAUCAACCGCGUUGUGCUAACGCUUCCGCUUAACGGUCUACGAGGGUACAUGGACGAUACUCUCCCCUCUCAUUGCUAUGCAUCACCAUGAUCUUGCGUGUGCGUAGGAAUUUUUUUGAAAUUACUAUGUUCCCCAACAGUGGCAUCUGAGCCAGGUUUAUGCGUAGAUGUUAUAUGCACGAGUAGAACACAAAUGAGUUGUGGGCGAUACAAGUCAUACUUCUUACCAGCAUGUCAUACUUUGGUUCGGCGGUAUUGUUGGAUGAAGCGGCCCAGACCGACAUUACGCGUAUGCUUAUGCGAGACUGGUUCUACCGACGUGCUUUGCACACAGGUGGCUGGCGGGUGUCAGUUUCUCCAACUUUAGUUGAACCGAGUAUGGCUACGCCCGGUCCUUGAGAAGGUUAAAACAACACUAACUUGACGAACUAUCGUUGUGGUUUUGAUGCGUAGAUAAGAACGGUUCUUGCUCAGCCCGUAGCAGCCACGUAAAACUUGCAACAACAAAGUAGAGGACGUCUAACUUGUUUUUGCAGGGCAUGUUGUGAUGUGAUAUGGUCAGGACAUGAUGCUAUAUUUUAUUGUAUGAGAUGAUCAUGUUUUGUAACGGAGUUAUCGGCAACUGGCAGGAGCCAUAUGGUUGUCGCUUUAUUGUAUGCAAUGCAAUCGCCCUGUAAUUGCUUUACUUUAUCACUAAGCGGUAGCGAUAGUCGUAGAAGCAAUAGUUGGCGAGACGACAACGAUGCUACGAUGGAGAUCAAGGUGUCGCGCCGGUGACGAUGGUGAUCGUGACGGUGCUUUGGAGAUGGAGAUCAAAGGCACAAGAUGAUGAUGGCCAUAUCAUAUCACUUAUAAUGAUUGCAUGUGAUGUUUAUCCUUUAUGCAUCUUAUUCUGCUUUGAUUGAUGGUAGCAUUAUGAGAUGAUAUCUCACUAAAUUUCAAGGUAUAAGUGUUCUCCCUGAGUAUGCACCGUUGCGAAAGUUCGUCGUGCCGAGACACCAUGUGAUGAUCGGGUGUGAUAAGAUCUACAUUCAAAUACAACGGGUGUAAGCCAGUUUUGCACACGCAGAAUACUCGGGUUAACAUAGUGAUGUUCACCAUUGAAAACUGGAGACUGAAAGGUAUGGCCUCGGAACACUGGAUACCGAAAGGUCGAACGUGAAUCAUAUAGUAGAUAUGAUCAACAUAGUGAUGUUCACCAUUGAAAACUACUCCAUCUCACGUGAUGAUCGGACAUGGUUUAGUUGAUUUGGAUCACGUGAUCAUUUAGAUGACUCGAGGGAUGUCUAUCUAAGUGGGAGUUCUUAAGUAAUAUGAUUAACUGAACUUUAAUUUUUCAUGAACUUAGUCCUGAUAGUAUUUGCAUAACUAUGUUGUAGAUCAAUAGCUCGCAAUGUUGCUCUCCGUUUAUUAUUAUUUUGAUAUGUUCCUAGAGAAAAAUAUGUUGAAAGAUGAUAGUAGCAAUGAUGCGGACUUGGUCCGUGAUCUAAGGUUUAUCCUCAUUGCUACACAGAAGAAUUAUGUCCGUGAUGCACCGCUAGGUGAUAGACCUAUUACAGGAGCAGAUGCAGACGUUAUGAACGUUUCGCUAGCUCAAUAUGAUGACUACUUGAUAGUUUAGUGCACCAUGCUUUACGGCUUAGAACCGGGAUUUCAAAGACGUUAUGAACGUCAUGGAGCAUAUGAGAUGUUCCAAGAGUUUAAGUUAAUAUUUCAGACUCAUGCCCGUGUCGAGAGGUAUGAGACCUCUGACAAAGUACUUUGCCUACAAGAUGGAGGAGAAUAGCUCAACUAGUGAGCAUGUGUUCAGAAUGUCUGAGUACUACAAUCGCUUGAAUCAAGUGGGAGUUAACCUUCCAGAUAAGAUAGUGAUUGACAGAAUUCUCUAGCAACUAUCACCAAGUUACUAGAACUUCGUGAUGAACUAUAAUAUGCAAGGGAUAACGGAAACGAUUCCCAAGCUCUUCGUGAUGCUGAAAUCGAUGAAGGUAGAAAUCAAGAAAAGCAUCAAGUGUUGAUGGUUGACAAGACCACUAGUUUCAAGAAAAGGGAAAGGGGAAAAAGGGGAACUUCAAGAAGAACAGCAAGCAAGUUGCUGCUCAAGUGAAGAAGCCCAAGUCUGGACCUAAGCCUGAGACUAAGUGCUUCUACUGCAAAGGGAAUGGUCACUGGAAGCGGAACUGCCCCAAGUAUUUGGCGGAUAAGAAGGAUGGCAAAGUGAACAAAAGUAUAUUUGAUAUACAUGUUAUUGAUGUGUACUUUACUAGUGUUUAUAGCAACCCCUCGGUAUUUGAUACUGGUUCAGUUGCUAAGAGUAGUAACUUGAAACGGGAGUUGUAGAAUGAACAGAGACUAAUUAAGGGUGAAGUGAUGAUGUGUGUUGGAAGUGGUUCCAAGAUUGAUAUGAUCAUCAUCGCACACUCCCUAUACUUUUGGGAUUAGUGUUGAACCUAAAUAAAUGUUAUUUGGUGUCUACGUUGAGCAAGGAUAUGAUUUGAUCAUGUUUAUUGCAAUACGGUUAUUCGUUUAAGAUAGAGAAUAAUUGUUAUUCUGUUUACAUGAAUAAAACCUUCUAUGGUUAUACACCCAAUGAAAAUGGUUUGUUGGAUCUCGAUCGUAGUGAUACACAUAUUCAUAAUAUUGAAGCCAAAAGAUGCAAAGUUAAUAAUGAUAGUGCAACUUAUUUGUGGCACUACCGUUUGGGUCAUAUUGGUGCAAAGCGCAUGAAGAAAAUCCAUGCUGAUGGGCUUUUGGAAUCACUUGAUGCUUGCGAACCAUGCCUCAUUGGCAAAGGUGACUAAGACUCCGUUCUCCGGAACAAUGGAGCGAGCAACUGACUUAUUGGAUAUAAUACAUACUGAUGUAUGAGGUCCGAUGAGUGUUGAGGCUCGCGGCGGGUAUCGUUAUUUUCUGACCUUCACAGAUGAUUUGAGCAGAUAUGGGGAUAUCUACUUGAAGAAACAUAAGUCUGAAACAUUUGAAAAGUUCAAAGAAUUCCAGAGUGAAGUGGAAAAUCAUCGUAACAAGAAAAUAAAGUUUCUCUGAUCUGAUCGCAGAGGCGAAUAUUUGAGUUACGAGUUUGGUCUUCAAUUGAAACAAUGUGGAAUAGUUUCACAAACUCAUGCCACCUGGAACACCAUAGCGUAAUGGUGUGUCCGAACGUCAUAACCGUACUUUAUUGGAUAUAGUGCAAUCUAUGAUGUCUCUUACCGAUUUACCACUAUCGUUUUGGGGUUAUGCAUUAGAGACAGGUACAUUCACGUUAAAUAGGGCACCGUCUAAAUCCAUUGAGACGACACCGUAUGAACUAUGGUUUGGCAAGAAACCUAAGCUGUCGUUUGGGGUUGCGAUGCUUAUGUGAAAAAGUUUCAUCCUGAUAAGCUCAACCCAAAUCGGAGAAGUGCGUCUUCAUAGGAUACCCAAAAGUUACUGUUGGGUACACCUUCUAUCAUAGAUCCGAAGGCAAGUUAUUCGUUGCUAAGAAUGGAUCCUUUCUAGAGAAGGAGUUUCUCUCAAAAGAAGUGAGUAGGAGGAAACUAGAACUUGAUGAGGUAACUGUACCUGCCCCCUUAUUGGAAAGUAGUUUAUCACAGAAAUCUGUUCCUGUGACUCCUACACCAAUUAGUGAGGAAGUUAAUGAUGAUGAUCAUGUAACUUCAGAUCAAGUUACUACUGAACCUCCUAGGUCAACCAGAAUAUGAUCCACACCAGAGUGGUACGGUAAUCCUAUUCUGGAGGUCAUGUUACUUGACCAUGAUGAACCUACGAACUAUGAGGAAGCGAUGAUGAGCCCAGAUUCUGCAAAAUGGCUUGAGGCCAUAAAAUCUGAGAUGGGAUCCAUCUAUGAGAACAAAGUGUGGACUUUGGUUGACUUGCCUGAUGAUCGGCAAGCCAUAGAAAAUAAAUGGAUCUUCAAGAGGAAGACGGACGCUAAUAAUAGUGUUACUAUCUACAAAGCUAGACUUGUCAAAAAAGUUUUUUGACAAAGUUCAAGGUGUUGACUACGAUGAGAUUUUCUCACUCGUAGCGAUGCUUAAGUCCGUCUGAAUCAUGUUAGCAAAUUGCCACAUUUUAUGAAAUCUGGCAAAUGGAUGUCAAAAACUACAUUCCUUAAUGGAUUUCUUAAAGAAGAGUUGUAUAUGAUGCAACAAGAAGGUUUUGUCAAUCCUAAAGGUGCUAACAAAGUGUGCAAGCUCCAGUGAUCCAUCUAUGGACUGGUGCAAGCAUCUCGGAGUUGGAAUAUGCGCUUUGAUGAGUUGAUCAAAGCAUAUAGUUUUACAGACUUACGGUGAAGCCUGUAUUUACAAGAAAGUGAGUGGGAGCACUACAACAAUUCUGAUAAAUAUAUGUGAAUGACAUAUUGUUGAUCGGAAAUGAUGUAGAAUUUUUUGGAAAGCAUAAAGGAGUAUUUGAAAGGAGUUUUUCAAAGAAAGAUUUCGGUGAAGCUGCUUACAUAUUGAGCAUCAAGAUCAAUAGAGAUAGAUCAAGACCCUUGAUAAGUUUUUUCAGUGAGUACAUACCUUGACAAGAUUUUGAAGUAGUUCAAAAUGGAACAGUCAAAGAAGGAGUUCUUGCCUGUAUUGCAAAGUGUGAAAUUGAGUAAGACUCAAAGACUGACCACAGCAGAAGAUAGAAAGAGAAUGAAAGUCAUUCCCUAUGCCUCAGCCAUAGGUUCUAUAAAGUAUGCCAUGCUGUGUACCAGAUCUAUUGUAUACCCUACACUGAGUUUAGCAAGGGAGAACAAUAGUGAUCUAGGAGUAGAUCACUGGACAGCGGUCAAAAUUAUCCUUAGUGGAAUAAGGAUAUGUUUCUUGAUUAUGGAGGUGACAAAAGGUUCGUCGUAAAAGGUUACGUCGAUGCAAGUUUUUUGACACUGAUCCAGAUGACUCUAAAGUCUCAAUCUGGAUACAUAUUGAGAGUGGGAGCAAUUAGCUAGAGUAGCUCCGUGCAGAGCAUUGUUGACAUAGAAAUUUGCAAAAUACAUAUGGAUCUGAAUGUGGCAGACCCGUUGACUAAACUUCUCUCACAAGCAAAACAUGAUCACACCUUAGUACUCUUUGGGUGUUAAUCACAUAGCGAUACGAACUAGAUUAUUGACUCUAGUAAACCCUUUCGGGGUUGGUCACAUGACAAUGUGAACUAUAGGUGUUAAUCACAUGGUGAUGUGAACUAUUGGUGUUAAGUCACAUGGCGAUGUGAACUAGAUUAUUGACUCUAGUGCAAGUGGGAGACUGAAGGAAAUAUUCCCUAGAGGAAAUAAUAAAGUUAUUACUUAUUUCGUUAUUUCAUGAUAAAUGUUUAUUAUUCAUGCUAGAAUUGUAUUAACCGGAAACUUGAUACAUGUGUGAAUACAUAGACAAACAGAAUGUCACUAGUAUGCCUCUACUUGACUAGCUCGUUGAAUCAAAGAUGGUUAAGUUUUCUAGCCAUAGACAUGAGUUGUCAUUUGAUUAACAGGAUCACAUCAUUAGAGAAUGAUGUGAUUGACUUGACCCAUUCCGUUAGCUUAGCACUUGAUCGUUUAGUAUGUUGCUAUUGCUUUCUCCAUGACUUAUACAUGUUCCUAUGACUAUGAGAUUAUACAACUCCCGAAUACCGGAGGAACACUUUGUGUGCUACCAAACGUCACAACGUAACUGGGUGAUUAUAAAGGUGCUCUACAGGUGUCUCCGAUGGUGUUUGUUGAGUUGGCAUAGAUCAAGAAUAUGAUUUGUCACUCCGAUUGUCGGAGAGGUAUCUCUGGGCCCUCUCGGUAAUGCACAGCACUAUAAGCCUUGCAGGCAAUGUGACUAAUGAGUUAGUUGCAGGAUGAUGCAUUACGGAACAAGUAAAGAGACUUGCCGGUAACGAGAUUGAACUAGGUAUUGGAUACCGACGAUUGAAUCUCGGGCAAGUAACAUACCGAUGACAAAGGGAACAACGUAUAUUGUUAUGCGGUUUGACCGAUAAAGAUCUUCGUAGAAUAUGUAGGAGCCAAUAUGAGCAUCCAGGUUCCGCUAUUGGUUAUUGACCGGAGACGUGUCUCGGUUAUGUCUACAUAGUUCUCGAACCCAUAGGGUCUGCACGCUUAAAGUUCUGUGACGAUCGGUAUUAUGAGUUUAUGUGGUUUGAUGUAACGAAGGUAGUUCGGAGUCCCUGAUGAGAUCGGGGACAUGACGAGGAGUCUCGAAAUGGUCGAAAUAUAAAGAUCGAUAUAUAGCACGACUAUAUUCGGACAUCGGAAAGGUUCUGAGUGAUUCGGGUAUUUUUUGGGGUACCGGGGAGUUACGGGAAUACGAGGAAGAAGUAAUGGGCCUCAUGGGCCAAGUGGUGGAAGAGAGGAGGCAGGGCACACGACCCCCCUAGCCCAAACCGAAUUGGACUAGGGGGUCGGCCCCCCUUUCCUCCUUUUCCUCCCUCUCCUUCCUUCUCCCUCUCCUCCUUCCUUUCCUCCUCCUAGUAGGAGUAGGAAAGGGGAGUCCUACUCCUACUAGGAGGAGGACUCCUCCUCCUGGCGCGCCCUACAUGGGCCGACCGGCCUCCCCGCUUGCUCCUUUAUAUACGGGGGCAGGGGGCACCCUAGAUCACACAAGUUGAUCAUUGAUCUCUCCCAACCAUGUGCGGUGCCCCCCUCCACCAUAAUCCACCUCGGUCAUAUCGUAGCGGUGCUUAGGCAAAGCCCUGCGACGGUAGCUUCAUCAACAUCGUCACCACACCGUUGUGCUGAUGAAACUCUCCCUCGAGCUCUACUGGAUCGUGAGUUCGCGGGACGUCACUGAGCUGAACGUGUGAUGAACGCGGAGGUGCCGUACGUUCGAUACUGAGGAUCGGUCGAUCAUGAAGACGUACGACUACAUCAACCGCGUUGUCAUAACGCUUCCGCUUAACGGUCUACGAGGGUACGUGGACGACACUCUCCCCUCUCGUUGCUAUGCAUCACCAUGAUCUUGCGUGUGCGUAGGAUUUUUUUUAAUUACUACGCCCAACAACCAGUACUCAUGGCGGGCUUCAUCUGGUGAUCUGCCUCGCCUUUGAAAUGCUUUCCUUUCUUUCGACAUUGAUGGUUGGUCGGAAGAAAUCAACGAUGCCCAGGUACACAUUCUUCCUGCAUUUGUCCAGGUAUAUACUUUUGGUGUCAGCUAAACAGUGCGUGCAUGUGUGGUAUCCCUUGUUUGUCUAUCCUGAAAGGUUACUGAGAGCAGGCCAAUCGUUGAUGGUUACAAACAACAACGCAUGCAGGUUAAAUUCCUCCUAUUUGUGCUCAUCCCACACACGUACACCGUUUCCAUUCCACAUCUAUAAAAGUUCUUCAACUAAUGGCCUUAGGUACACAUCAAUGUCGUUGUCGGGUUGCUUAGGGCCUUGGAUGAGAACUAGCAUCAUAAUGAACUUCCGCCUCAUGCACAUGCAAGGAGGAAGGUUAUACAUACAUAGAGUCACGGGCCAGGUGCUGUGAUUGCUGCUCUGCUCCCCGAAAGGAUUAAUGCCAUUCGCAAUUAAACCAAACCAUAUGUUCCUUGGGUCACCUGCAAACUCAGCCCAGUACUUUCUCUCGAUUUUUCUCCACUGCGACCCGUCAGCGGGUGCUCUCAACUUCCCGUCUUUCUUAGGGUCCUCUCUGUGCCAUCGCAUCAACUUGACAUGCUCUUUGUUUCUGAACAGACGUUUCAACCAUGGUAUUAUAGGAGCAUACCACGUCACCUUGGCAGGAACCCUCUUCCUGGGGGGCUCGCCGUCAACAUCACCAGGGUCAUCUCGUCUGAUCUUAUACCGCAAUGCACCGCAUACCGGGCAUGCGUUCAAAUCCUUGUACGCACCGCGGUAGAGGAUGCAGUCAUUAGGGCAUGCAUGUAUCUUGUGCACCUCCAAUCCUAGAGGGCACAGGACCUUCUUUGCUGCGUAUGUACUGUCGGGGAAUUCGUUAUCCUUUGGAAGCUUCUUCUUCAAUAUUUUCAGUAGCUUCUCAAAUCCUUUGUCAGGCACAUCAUUCUCUACCUUCCACUGCAGCAAUUCCAGUACGGUACCGAGCUUUGUGUUGCCAUCUUUGCAAUUGGGUUACAACCCUUUUUUGUGACCCUCUAACAUGCGAUCAAACUUCAGCUUCUCCUUUUCACUUUCACACUGUCUCCUUGCAUCAACAAUGACCCGGCGGAGAUAAUCAUCGGGCACAUCGUCUGGUUCCUCUUGAUCUUCAGCUUCCCCCGUUGCGGCAUCACCAUAUUCAGGGGGCGCAUAGUUGUCAUCUUCCUCUUCUUCUUUGUUGUCUUCCAUCAUAACCCCUAUUUCUCCAUGCUUGGUCCAAACAUUAUAGUGUGGCAUGAAACCCUUAUAAAGUAGGUGGGUGUGAAGGAUUUUCCGGUCAGAGUAAGACUUCGUAUUCCCACAUAUAGGGCAUGGACAACACAUAAAACCAUUCUGCUUGUUUGCCUCAGCCACUUCGAGAAAAUUAUGCAUACCCUUAAUACACUCGGAGGUGUGUCUGUCACCGUACAUCCAUUGCCGGUUCAUCUGCGUGCAUUAUAUAUAAUUAAGUUUGUAAAAAACCAUUACAGAACAUCAUGAAUAGAUAAGUGACCAAAUUAAUAGAAGGUCAUCAUCAUAUUAAAACCAAAGUACAUACAUAGUUCUCAUUGAACAACAUAUAGCUCUCCAGAGCAUCUAAUUAAACCAUACAUUGAAACUAUGUAAAUCAUUUCAAUGCAACAACAAAUGCGAUCAUAAUCGCAAUCAAGGUAACAAUUGAUCCAACAACAUAAUGAUACCAAGCCUCGGUAUGAAUGGCAUAUUUUCUAAUCUUUCUAAUCUUCAAGCGCAUUGCAUCCAUCUUGAUCUUGUGACCAUCGACGACAUCCACAACAUGCAACUCCAAUAUCAUCUUCUCCUUCUCAAUUUUUUUAUUUUUUCCUUCAACUAAUUGUUUUCUUCUUCAACUAAAUUUAACCUCUCGACAAUAGAGUCGGUUGGAAUUUUCGGUUCACAUACCUCCUAGAUAAAUAAAAUCUAUGUCACGUUGGUCGGCAUAAUUGUCAUAAAAAAUAAAUGAACCAAAUAGUUAUAAAAGAUAAUAUAUACCACAUCCGAAUCAUAGACAGGACGAGGGCCGACGGGGGCGGAUACCAAAACCAUCGCACUAUAUAAUAAUAAGCAAUAAUAAAAGUAAGAACAUUAGACAAGUAUCUAUCUAAUCAUACAAGUAAGAAUUUUUUUCUUUUAGAAAGAAGAUAUGAACAAGAGGCUCACCACGGUGGUGCCGGCGACGAGAUCGGCGCGGGCGAUCGACGGCGGUGAAGACGGGGAUGGGACGUGACGGACCGCUAAACCUAGACAAAUCUUGAGGAAAAUGGAGCUUGGAGGUCGAGUUUGGAGAGGAGAAAGCUUAAGUAGUGUGGCUCGGGCAUUUCAUCGAACACCUCAUGUGCAUAGGAGGUGAGCUAGAGCACCACAAAGCCCUCCCCUCGCCGGCCAGAAAAAAACUGAGCAGUGGAGUGCUCUGCUCGCGGGCGAGGGGUAUAUAUAGCCACCUCAUUGGUCCCGGUUCGUGGCUGGAACCGGGACCAAAGGCUGGAACCGGGACUAAAGGCCCCCCUUUGGUCCCGGUUCCAGCCACGAACCGGGACCAAUGGUUGUGGGCCAGGAGCGAGGCCCAUUGGUCCCGGUUCGUGUCUGGAACCGGGACAAAAGGGUCCAGACAAACCGGGACCAAUGGUUGUGGGCCAGGAGCGAGGCCCAUUGGUCCCGGUUCGUGUCUGGAACCGGGACAAAAGGGUCCAGACGAACCGGGACCAAUGCCCCACGAGGCCCGGCCGGCCCCCUGGGCGCACGAACCAGGACGUAUGCCCCCAUGGGUCCCGGUUCGUGAUUGAACCGGGACUAAUGGGCUGGACAGGCCAGAACCAAAGGCCUGUUUUGUACUAUUGAGGGAAUCUUGGGGUGGGUUGGGCCGGGACGGUGUUGGGGGUGUAGCUAUGGGUUGGGCUAUGACAACCAGGUGAAAAGGUCCACCGGUCAAACCCCGUCCGGCGAAAGUCAACGGGCUAGACCCGGCGGUCGUCUGUGUCAGGGUUAGAAGGGACGGGGUACCUGGGAGGUAGCAAUGCCACCAGGUGUUGCGGUGGGCCCUCAUACGGUUGUGGAAGCGUGGUGGCAAGCGCAGGCACCCGGCACGCGGCUCCGGGGUCUGCCCCCCUCACGGCGUCGCUGCCGCCGUGUCCCGGAGGGGGGAAACGGCCACGUCGGGCCGACACGGAGGGAAUCUUUGGGUGGGUUGGGCCGGGACGGUGUUGGGGGUGUAGCUAUGGGCUGGGCUAUGACAACCAGGUGAAAAGGUCCACCGGUCAAACCCCGUCCGGCGAAAGUCAAAGGGCUAGACCCGGCGGUCGUCUGUGUCAGGGUUAGACGGGACGGAGUUGAAGGAAAUAUGCCCUAGAGGCAAUAAUAAAGUUAUUAUUUAUUUCCUCAUAUCACAAUAAAUGUUUAUUAUUCAUGCUAGAAUUGUAUUAACCAGAAACAUAAUACAUGUGUGAAUACAUAGACAAACAUAGUGUCACUAGUAUGCCUCUACUUGACUAGCUCGUUAAUCGAAGAUGGUUGAGUUUCCUAGCCAUGGACAUGAGUUGUCAUUUGAUUAACGGGAUCACAUCAUUAGGAGAAUGAUGUGAUUGACAUGACCCAUUCCGUUAGCUUAGCACUUGAGCGUUUAGUAUGUUUCUAUUGCUGUCUUCAUGACUUAUACAUGUUCCUAUGACUAUGAGAUUAUGCAACUCCCGUUUACCGGAGGAACACUUUGUGUGCUACCAAACAUCACAACGUAACUGGGUGAUUAUAAAGGUGCUCUAUUGGUGUCUCCGAAGGUACUUGUUGAGUUGGCGUAUUUUGAGAUUAGGAUUUGUCACUCCUAUUGUCGGAGAGGUAUCUUUGGGCCCUCUCGGUAAUGCACAUCACUAUAAGCCUUGCAAGCAAUGUGACUAAUGAGUUAGUUGCGGGAUGAUGCAUUACGGAAUGAGUAAAGAGACUUGCCGGUAACGAGAUUGAACUAGGUAUUGAGAUACCAACGAUCGAAUCUCGGGCAAGUAACAUACCGAUGACAAAGGGAACAACGUAUGUUGUUAUGCGGCUUGACCGAUAAAGAUCUUCGUAGAAUAUGUAGGAGCCAAUAUGAGCAUCUAGGUUCCGCUAUUGGUUAUUUAUCAGAGACGUGUCUCGGUCAUGUCUACAUAGUUCUCGAACCCGUAGGGUCCGCACACUUAAAGUUUGGUGACGAUCGGUAUUAUGAGUUUUGUGUUUUGAUGUACCGAAGGUAGUUCGGAGUCCUGGAUAUGAUCACGGACAUGACGAGGAGUCUCCAAAUGGUCAAGACGUAAAGAUCAAUAUAUUGGACGACUAUAUUCGGACACUGGAAGUGUUCCGAGUGGUUUCGGAGAAAACCGGAGUACCGGGGGGUUACCGGAACCCCCCGGGGAGUUAAUUGGGCCUCAUGGGCCUUAGUGGGAGAAGAGGAGGGGCGGCGAGGGCAGCCGCACGCCCCCUCCCCCUCUAGUCCGAAUUGGACAAGGAGGGGGGCGGCGCCCCCUUUUUUCCUUCUCCUCCUCUCUCCUUCCUUCCCUCUCCUACUCCAACAAGGAAAAGGAGUCCUACUCCCGGUGGGAGUAGGACUCCCCCCCUUGGCGCGCCCUCCUCCUGGCCGGCCGCCUCCCCCCUUGCUCCUUUAUAUACGGGGCCAGGGGGCACCUCUAGACACACAAGUUGAUCUGUUGAUCUAUUCCAGCCGUGUUCGGUGCCCCCCUCCACCAUAUUCCACCUCGGUCAUAUCAUAGCGGUGCUUAGGCGAAGCCCUGCGUCGGUAGCAACAUCAUCACCGUCAUCAUGCCGUCGUGCUCACGGAACUCUCCCGUAAAGCUCUGCUGGAUCGGAGUUCGCGGGACAUCCUCGAGAUGAAUGUGUGCUGAACUCGGAAGUGCCGUACGUUCGGUGCUUGGAUCGGUCAGAUCGUGAAGACGUACGACUACAUCAACCGCGUUGUGCUAACGCUUCCGCUUUUGGUCUACGAGGGUACGUGGAAAACACUCUCCCCUCUCAUUGCUAUGCAUCACCAUGAUCCUGCGUGUGCGUAGGAUUUUUUUUGAAAUUACUACGUCCCCCAACAGUGGCAUCCGAGCCUGGUUUUAUGUGUAGAUGUUAUAUGCACGAGUAGAACACAAGUGAGUUAUGGGUGAUACAAGUCAUACUGCUUACCAGCAUGUCAUACUGUGGUUCGGCGGUAUUGUUGGAUGAAGCGGCCCGGACCGACAUUAUGCGUACGCUUACGCGAGACUGGUUCUACCGACGUGCUUUGCACAUAGGUGGCUGGCGGGUGUCAGUUUCUCCAACUUUAGUUGAACCGAGUGUGGCUACGCCCGGUCCUUGAGAAGGUUAAAACAACACUAACUUGACGAACUAUCGUUGUGGUUUUGAUGCGUAGGUAAGAAUGGUUCUUGCUCAGCCCGUAGCAGCCAUGCAAAACUUGCAACAACAAAGUAGAGGACGUCUAACUUGUUUUUGUAGGGCAUGUUGUGAUGUGAUAUGGUCAAGACAUGAUGAUAUAUUUUAUUGUAUGAGAUGAUCAUGUUUUGUAAUCGAGUUAUCGGCAACUGACAGGAGCCAUAUGGUUGUCGCUUUAUUGUAUGCAAUGCAAUCGCCCUGUAAUUGCUUUACUUUAUCACUAAGCGGUAGCGAUAGUCGUAGAAGCAUAAGUUGGCGAGACAACAACGAUGCUACGAUGAAGAUCAAGGUGUCGCGCCGGUGACGAUGGUGAUCAUGACGGUGCUUCGGAGAUGGAGAUCACAAGCACAAGAUAAUGAUGGCCAUAUCAUAUCACUUAUAUUGAUUGCAUGUGAUGUUUAUCCUUUAUGCAUCUUAUUUUUCUUUAAUUGACGGUAGCAUUAUAAGAUGAUCUCUCACUAAAUUUCAAGAUAAAGUGUUCUCCCUGAGUAUGCACCGUUGCCACUUGCCGGGGGUCUGGUGGCCUUCCUCGGCAAGGAUCUUGCCGAGGAUCUUCGUCUUCUAAUCCUCAACUGAUAUUGAAUAUGUCUUCACAAAGAUCUGCAUGCCACCACGGAGGUGCCUCCCGAGCCCUGGCCCAACGUGGAUGAUGGCGUCAGGGACCGUGGGCUCAAGGGUGGCUCACUCUAUUGGUGUGGGGCGACCUGCCCCGGCAAGGGUCUUGCCGGGGCUGCUGAGGUUGCCCCGGCAAGGGUCUUGCCGAGGGAACUUGCUUCGUCCCUCUGCUCUUUGUGGUCAUGGCCUUGGCGUUGCUCUUAUUAUCUUGGGCUUUGGUCUUACCUUGGCUCGCCAGGUAGGGGGCGUGCGUGGUUGUGAGAAUCUGGCCUAGGAGCUAACCUAGCGGUCCUUCAUCGCCCUUGGCUCCUGAGAAGAAGGCGGCCAGAGGAACGACGCCGGCGCGGCAACAGAAAAGCUAAGUCAUUCAGAGCUUUGAGUUAUUUCCUCCUAUAUAUAAGGUUAUCGUCCUCGGAGAUUUUGCCUAUGUAUGAGAGACCUGCACGCAAAGGGGCCCUCCCACAAUUGGCAACGACCUUGUUCAGUUUCGAGUCCGCUCAACAGGUCAAGCGGCCGUGUCGAGAGCGGCGGGGUAGCCUUCCGUACCUGGCAACACUCUCGAUUCUGACUCGAGUCAAGCUCGACAGUUCGGGCGGCCGCGCUAAGGGCGGCAAGGUGGUUUGCCAGGCAGCAAGCACACCUGGCAGGCCAAUGGGGAUCCGUCCCCAAGACGUCGCCCUGGGUUUACGCGCCGGCAAACCUACCCGGGUAGCGUUGGGUGGACAUACAAAGGAAAAUCGAACAGGAAAAUAACAUGCAUGAUACUGAAAGUGCUGCAGAGUUAUAUUACAUCGAAUUGUUGCCGCGGUUCUAACUAGAGAUAGCGAUUGUCUUGGUUGUGAACCUGCAGUGGCGAUAAAGAACAGGGUGCCUAAUCCCGGCGCUGGCCCUCCACCCUCUGAAUUUCGCCGACUCGGCUAAUGAUGGGCUUGAUGCGCUCCCUGAGCGGCGCGAGGUCAGUACCCUCCGACAAGCUCUCCAGCGCGGCGUCGAAGUCGAGGUCGGGGUACCAGUGCACCACCUUGGUGAGAACCUUGGUCAUGGCACCCUGGCAAAGCCUCCGGGACUCGUCGACCAGUGAGGCCGCCCGGUUGGCAUGGAGCCACUCCAGAGCGCCGACGACCUUCUCAAAGAACAUGGUCAGGCUGCAAUUGGCGCUCACGCUCUGCUCCGGGACAUACCUCACGUCCGGCAUCCCCAUGAUGGCCAGCUGCGCGGCGGCCUGGUUGGUGACGGUGGCGAGGCAAUUGAGCCAGCGGUUCUCGCCCUCCACGUGAUCUGCGAAGUUGAGGCCCUCGUUCUUCCGCAACAGCUUCUUGGCCUCUAGCUCCUUGACCAGGGUCCCCUCUCAGGUUUUGGCCUCCGACAGCACCUUCUAGAGACCCUCCAGCUUCAGCUUGAGGUCUUUGAUGGAGUUGUUGGCCUCGGAAAGCUCCCCAGCCUUGCUGACGACCGUGCCCUGACUGUCGGUGUACAAAAAGAGGGGUGCGUUUUUGUACCCCUAUACCUGUGCACGGGCAGUCGGAGCCGCGCCUACGAUCAGGCCAAGCAGAACAGGGGAGGUGAGCCAAGGUAAGACCAAAUCCCAAGAUAAUAAGAGCAACGCCAAGGCCAAGACCACAAAGAGCAGAGGGACGAAGCAGGUUCCCCCAGCAAGACCCUUGCCCGGGCAGCCUCAGCAGCCCCGGCAAGACCCUUGCCGGGGCAGCUCGCCCCACACCAACAGAGCGAGCCACCCUUGAGCCCACGGUCCCCGACGCCAUCAUCCACGUUGGGCCAGGGCUCGGGAGGCACCUCCGUGGUGGCAUGCAGAUCUUUGUGAAGACAUAUUCAAGAUCAGAUGAGGAUUACAAGACGACGAUCCUCGACAAGAUCCUUGCCGAGGAAGGCCACCAGAUCCCCGGCAAGGCCCUUGCCGGGGACGACAGCGCGCCACGGCAAGACCCUUGCCGGGCCACACGACAAGACCCUUGCCGGGCCACCCGGCAAGGCCCUCACCAAGGACGCCAGCAGGGCCACCGCCAGGCCCACGCCAACCAAGCUUCCACCGCCGUUCACAUGCAGCUGCCAGCCCAACCCGCUGGGCGGGCACCUGCGUGGCAACAUGCAGCUCCCAGGCCAACUCAUCGAGCGCCUGCGUGGCGGCAUGCAGAUCUUCGUGAAGGCUCCACCACCGUGCCACCUCAGCUGCCUGCCUGCCUACAUGGCACCACAUGCCUCACUGGACAGGGCGCGUGUAAAAGCGAGGAGUAGCGGUGACGGACGAGACGGCCCUCACCCCCGUCCCCAAGAAAGCAAGGGGACACCUAAGCUACGCAUUAAAUGCGUCUUGUCCUGUAGUACAAGCGAUAAGCUCAGGGCACUGUACGCCUUUCCACCUCUUGUGUGCCACUGUGGCAGCCCCUUUCGACUAUAAAAGGAGGCACAUGGCAUACUGGAGAAGGAUUCAGCUCUUUCGAACUACGCACUGACCACAGCUAGUUCGAGAGCUCAAGAACUCUCUGAAAUACACCCACCAAAGCAGGACUAGGGUUUUACGCAUCCUCGCGGCCCGAACCUGGGUAAACGAUCCUUGUGCUGGCUACUAAACCUGCUCUCCUCGCAAUCCCGCACCCCGGCAACCGUAGUAGGGAUUCUUGUGAUCCCAUAGGUGUCGUUCCACACCGACAUCUUUGGCGCGCCAGGUAGGGGGCGUGCGUGGUUGUGAGAAUCUGGUCUAGUAAUCAGCCUAGCAGUUCUUCGUCGCCAUGGCUCCUAAGAAGAAGACGGCCACGGCGCUUGGCUCGUUGGGAGCCGAACGGCCCGUGCCGGUGCGGGCGAGCAGUGGACCGGUCGCAGACAGGACCCGGGCCGCGGUCCGCGAGCACCAGCAUCGCCCUGGUAGUCAGAGCCUAGCGAGCGGCGUUGUUCGCGCACCAGACGACCGGCCACACGUCUCCGGAUCCAAAGACGGAGCUGGGCCACCCGCAGGCGGCGCGGGGCCCUCCAGGGGUGUGGUUGUGCCACCUCCGGGCGGCGCAGCGACCUCCAGGACGCCCACACCGGCGACCACUGCGCGCUCUUCCCAUGGUGUGCGCGCCGAGCAGCGUCACCACGUUGGUGACCCUGAGCACCGCCGUGGGAAGACCCCCGUGCGUCAUCCGCAGGAUGAAGGGGUUCAGCACGCCCACCGAAGCACUGGCAAAAAUGGCACGCGGCCGCUGGGUCCUAGCGGAGCUCCUUCUAACGUAGUUAGAAGUCGAAGCGCGCCGCGAUCCACGCAGCUGUCGCUGCCGCCCACGCCAGCAGAAGCUUUGGCGUGCGCGCAGCUGCUCCUCGACUUCCCUCCUGCUGCGGAGAAGCUUGACGAGUGGAGGGCCACCAUCCGGAGCCUCGUCGCCGUCGCCAACAAAGACGAUCCGCGACCGGCGGGACCCUCGGGUCGGCGCUCCACCGAGCCACCGCAUGCUGGCGCUGGGAGGACCGGGGGAGUAGCGGCCACGGUGCACUCUCCUCCUCGCCAGCCGCCGCGGGCGUCGGCCCAUUGUGACGACGCUUGUGAUAACACCUCCAUAGCAUCAUCCGACCCACGGACCCUCCGCGACCAGCGCCAGGUCCUUCGGGGACACUCGAACCACCGUCGAGCGCCGGCGCGAAACACGCUGCCAGUCAGACAAGCGGGCGGGACCCGCUAAGGACCACCCGACACCGGGGAGCUCCAGCGCCUACCUUACGAGGUGGGCUGCCCGGCCUUUACCCGUGAGCUGCGGCAGUUCCAGUGGCCGUCCAACCGCACGUUCAAGCCCGACGUCGGCGAGAAGUACACUAGCAAGACACAUCCGUCCGAGUUCCUCAGCAUCUACACCAUCGCGAUGCAGGCUGCCGGGGCUCGCGAUGACAAGGUGCUUGCCAACUAUUUCCCGGUGGCGCUCAAGCCCAAUGUGAUGUCUUGGUUGAUGCACUUGCCGGUGGACUCCAUUUCUUCUUGGUCGGAUCUGUGCCAUGAGUUCGUUGGCGCCUUCACAGGAGGCCACCAAGCUCAUGGCCAGGCCAGAGAUCUGCACAUCAUUCCGCAGAAAGAAGGGGAAACCCUGUGCAAGUAUAUCCAGAGAUUCAGCUGGGUGCAGUACAACAUCCCCGACGUUCAUCCCGCUGCUGUGAUUAGCGCGUGUCGGGUGGUAGGUGCGACAUAUGCCAACGGGUGGCUUAUCAUUGUGGGAGCCAGUAAGACAUCGCCGGUGCCUGGAAACGGGAUAAGGCGAAGACAUGCACGCCGGCGGAUCUUACCCAGGUUCGGGGCUCUCCGUGGAGAUAACACCCCUAGUCCUGCUCUGCGGGGUCUCCGCAUGAUCACUAGAUCAAUACAAGUAGCUACAAGUGCUCCUUGAGCUGUUGGCUAGGGGAAGAAGAUGGGCAAGGCUAGCUCUCCUUUUCUCUCUAUGUGGUGUGUGAAACUAUGUGAGAUCAACCCUUUGCAUGGGUGUCCCACGGGAUUUAUAUAGGCCUACCCCCCCAGGGGUACAAUGGUAAUCCGGCCGGGCGCGGGUCCCAGCCGUCAGUGUCUGUGCUCGCCGGCUUCUCCGCCGGCCAUUGGGGCCCGCCGACUGGUGGGUCCCGCUGGCUGCCGGCGUCUUUGCCGACAGGCCGGCCCACCGCUUGGGGGCCUUGUCGGCGGCUGGUUACUGUUGCCUCACCCCUGAUGACGAGGGCUUUGUCGAGGUAAGCGUGGCUACAGUGCCGCCGCCUUGCGGGCUCUCACUGUUGCCUCACCUCGUCUUGUCUCCUUAAUGAUGCACAUGUUUCGAGGGAGGGAGGUAGCCGGCUAUUGGGAGCCAGCUAUGCCCCCGGCUGACUAGGGGAGGCCGGGCCGCCUUCGAGCGUCUCUCUGGCUAAAGGGGCCCGCCGCCCGCGGGUCAUACUGGCGCCUGUCGUGGGUGACGUUGAGGUCAACAUGGCUACAGUGUCACGCCGGACGGGGGAUGGCUGACCCGUACGGUGCCCUGUGGCCAUGCCUAUUCCAGGAUUCGGAGGUAGUGGGUUGUACUGCGGCCACGCCCCGUCUUAUCACCGUUAUGUGGAUGCAUCCCUGGUGGGUGCAGUCUUGGCCGGCUUCUGGGAGUCGGCUCUCUUCAUGGCCGGCUUCUGGGAGUCGGUCCUCUUGGGGCCAGCUUCCUAGAGUCGGCCAUCUCGUAGCUUUCUUCGGGAAGGUUUUUGAGGCCGGGCCGCCUUCUGGUAGUCGGCCCUAGGGAUAGCCGGCCAGAGGAAGGCGGCCCCAUGCUCUGGAUGCUUGAAGGCUCGAAUGGCCUGAUAAUUUUUUGAAGAGCCAGGGGGAGUUGGUUAGGCUACCCGUGGCCAUUUACACCGACAGUUGUCCCCAAAGCUGGUUGGGCUUCGAGGCUGAGAGGAGGUCGAGAAGCUCGGUCAGCUUCUUAUCUUGAUGAGCCAGCAGCUGGGAGCCGGCUUCGGUUGGGUGCGCCGUCUUGGCGAAAUUUCUAAAGUCUGAAGGCGGGAGUCAGUUGGUGCGCGCGCCAGGCUAUGGGCCGGCCGCUCGCCGCCCGCGAACCACGUGGCAUACUCCGGCUCGAAAAAGCCUGCCAACCCACGCGCGCGACAGGACGUCGCCGCAGGCCGGGGGCCCACCACUCCUACGCCUAGGCCCAGGCGCGGAUUCUCUGUGGCCCAAAGCUGGCCGCACGCCUUCCGGCAGCGGUUUCUGCACGCCGUUAGGGCGCAAUAAUCACGGGACGUGGGGGAGUGGACGCAGUUAAUCCCACGUUCCCCCCACGCCUCGCCUCCUCGACUUCGCCGCGCGAGGCUAUAAGUAGGGGAGGAGGGGAAGCGGCAGGCGCUCGCACGCUCCUCCUCUCUCCGCCAUCUUCUUCCCCCUCCUUUCCAUCGCAGCAGCGUCUCGUCGCCGCGCCGUCCCACCAAACUUCACACCACCCUGCAGCUUCGCCGCCGCAGGGCCGUGCUUCCUCCGCCGCCGCAUCCUUUCUUGCCAGCUUCUCGCCACCAUGCAGUACAACGGAGACUGGGACGGCUCCAAUGUUCAUAUGGACCACAUCGACUUCCUGCGGCGGUUGCCCGACAAAGACCAGGUGCGGGUCCGUCUCACGCCGGAGAAGGAGAUCACGCCGGCGCCGGAGCUAGGCGAGCGGGUAAUCUUUCGCUCGCACUUCCUGCGCGGCCUCGGCCUGCCGGCGAGCGCCUUCUUCCGCUCCUUCCUCGAGUUUUACCAACUCCAGCCGCACCACCUCACUCCGAACACGGUGGUGCUGCUGUCCGCCUUCGUCACUCUGUGCGAGGGCUUUCUUGGCGUUCUCCCCACCCUCGAGCUCUGGGGGGAAUUCUUCCAAACCAAGCUCGGCACCCGCAUGCAGGGCGUGCCGGCUCAGAGCGGCGCCUUCAUCGCGAUGCGGAGGCCGGCAGCCAACAACCCCUUCCCCAUCAUCACGCUGAUCCAGUCGGUGAAGCGCUGGCAAAGUCAUACUUCUACAUGAAGAACGUCGCCCCGCAAGGCGACUACGUCAACUUUCCGGCUUAUGUAGCCGGCCCGCCAGCUGGGAGGCGGCCCCAGUGGUCCUAUCGGGCCGUGACGCUGUCGCCGGCUGGAGCCGCGGCCGUCGCCCGACUUCGGGUAGUGAACCAGCUGGAGGGCCUGACUGGAUCCGACCUGCUGGCCGCCUUCAUCGCGCGUCGGGUGCUUCCGCUUCAAACCCUCCCUCAUCUGAUCUGUCAGAUGAGUGGCCAACUCGAUCCGAGUCGGAUGUGCACCAAGGAUAUGCCUCACGACGAGGUGGCUCAUAUGGUGAAUUAUCUUGUGAACUGCAAGCUCUCCGCAGAGUGGCGGUUUGGCAAGGAGCCGUACUCCCGUGCUCAUCCCCCGCCUACGGUAUGCUUUCUUUAUCCUUUCUUCUCUUAGUUUUGACGCCAAGUUUUACUUGGCCGACUCUGACCAGUCGGCACGUCUUGGCAGAGCCCUCUCCUUCGACCUACGGCCGGGUCGGGGGCGGAUCGCCGAUUUCUCCCCGACCGGGCGGAGCAUGACAUGGAGGACCAUGACUUGGGGGCGGCCGCCAUGGACGACAACACCGAGGCGGGAGGCGGCAAAGCCGGCGGUGAAGCAGGCGGCUCCGGGCUUGGAGCCAGCCUCAACGACGGGCGGGAUGACGACGAGGCAGAAAUCGUCCCACGCCGCCAGCCGGCGUCCGGCCAUGGCGCGGGUUCCUCCGCCGCGCCGCCUGCUCGGGGCGGCGGGCAGAAGCGUCGGGCCGCGUCGGGCUUGUUCGGCAGUCGGCCGAAGAAGCCCAAGGGCGAGGCGGCGGCGACCAGGCGGGAUGAGGCGGCCGCGAAGGCGGCCCGCUUCCGCAAGGUGGUGAAGCAGCCGCAAAUGGUGUCGGUGUAAGUGUAUAUUCUUUUGCAUACUCUUUCUUCUUUUCUUGUCGAUUUCUGAAUCCUUGUCUUGUCUCAAAAAAUCAGGGCUCCGCUUUCUCUUGAGCGGGUUGCUGCCGCCUCCGUGGUUGGGUCGCCGGGAGGAUCUGGGAGCACCCGCCGUGUGGACCCCCGCGCCGAGCUUCAAGCGGCGACGGAGCAAAUUCGCGGGAGGCAUGGGAGGAGCGGGAGGCAGAGGAGCUGAGGGCGGCUGCCGCCAAGGCGGCACCCGAGAUCCCGGAGCCCCCGCCGGAGGGAGCCGGUGGAGACCUACCGGGAUUGGAGAGGGAGGACGUCGUCGUCAAGGAGAGGGAGGCGGCACCGUCCUCGCCGACUGGGGCGGCCCAACGCAGCCGCCUAACGUGCCGCCUGCGCAAUCGGCUGGGGGCGAGCCGGCUGCAAGGACGGACCUGGUGGUCCAGUCGCCAUCGCGCCAGCGCACGGGGAAGGCCACUUCGGCUCCGGACCCGCAGAAGGCCGCGGGCUCCAGCUCGUCGGCCCAGGACGUGGAGGCGGCCAGCGCCAGCUCGGGGUGGACGCCAGGUGGAGGGACGGCCAUGGUGAAUGUGGCGGCACAAGAAGUCCAGAACGGGCUUCAGUCCCAGGCUGCGGCGUUGAGGCAAUAUAAUGACGAGUUCCUCAUGACGCGGGCGGCCAUUCGGGUAAGUCUUCCCGUUUUUGCUUCUUGAUCUUGGUUUCUUCCGUGGGGGCGCGUCAGCGCACCCACAGGGUGUAGUCCCCGAGUUCUGAGUCGGCUGCUGAGCAGGCGGCUUGGAACUUCUUAGCCGGCUUUGUUUUCUAUCUUGUUCUCAUUCGCUUCUCUGUCUGACUUGCAGGACUACCACAACCUCCGCGCGGCUGAUUUCAACUCCCAGGCUCGGGAGCUGACCCAGAAGAAUGUUGAUCUAUCUGAGAGCCCGGGUAAGUGCUUCAUCUUUUAUCUCACGUGGGGGCGCAUCAGCGCACCCACUGGGUGUAGUCCCCGAGAUUCGGGCUGACUGCUGAGCAGUCGGGUUGGAUCUUUCUUGACGACUUCUUUCCUAUUGCUCUUUUCUUCAAUGCCAUAUCUGCAGCAGCCAACGCCAAACUGAGGGAGCAGCUGGGUGGGACUCAGGCCGCCCUUCGCGCUAAGGAAGCCGAGUUCGACGCCUUGGCUCAGGAGCAUGACCGCCUGGUCAAGAAGCUGGCUGACCAGGAGGAGAGCCACAAGGCGUCCCUGAAGGCGGUGCAGGAUAGCGAGGCCGCCCUCCAAGCCGAGUAUGAGACCGAGGCGGCGAGCUGGGCCGAGGCGAGGUAGUCGUUGAUCAAUGGCUACGGCCAGAUCGAAGACUUGGUUGACGGUAGGCCGCCCUCUUCUUCGUUCCUUGCUUGCCGCUUGCCGUUUGGUUCACUCUCUGACUUGGUAUUUUUCUCUUCUUUCUCUUUCUUUCUUGUGUAGAGUACUUCCCUGGCUACUCUACUGCCGCCAACCAGGUCGUCGAGGCCCACCGUGAGGCGCAAAGGCAGGCUGGCGCCAAGAUCGCGUCGAACGCUCCCCGGUCGCUUGAGGAACAGCUCCUGGCGAUUCAAGCCCGCCUCCAGCUGGCUCACCGCAUGCACCGCCGGCUUCAGCGUGUUGGGGCGCAGGUGCUAGCCGCCUCUGGCCCGGCGACGUGAUUCCCCGCACUCCCAGUCGGACAGCCGACUGGCUGGAGGUGGCGGCCGGCCGCUUCGAGGCGUGGAAGGCUUCUGCGGCUCGGUGAGGCGCCAGGCGGGCGCUGGAGUUCGUCAAGGCCUGGUAUCCUGAGCUGAGCUUGGACCAGCUGGCCACCUGGCUGCAGGAGGCCGACACGGAGCUGGAGCCGGUGCGGCCGGCUAUCAUCCAGCGUGCCUCGGCGAUCGCCGACUACACCAACACCAGCGCCUUUGCCCCUGAGGUGGACGACAACGGCGUUGCCUAGCCGGAGCAGUGGUUCGGGCUGAACCCGGCAGAUGGCGAGGACUCGGCUGAGGAGACCGACUCCAGCGACGAGGGCGAGGAGGAGGAGGAAGAGGGUGAAGACGUCGCGCCAGAUGGUGGAGCAGCCGGUCAGCCUCAGCUUGACCGUGCCUCCAGCAACAAGGCACGUGCGAGCGCACCGCCUGCAGCCGGCGAUGAUCAAGCCGAGACUCUCCAGCCGGCGCUGCCGUCUCCACCGACCAGCCCGGCUCCCCUGUUGCGCCCUUAGUCUAAUCUGCCGCCUUUACUUUCCUAUUUUAUUACUCUUUGAACAAUAUUUCGUUAAGUUUGCGCAGUUCCACCCACUGGGGGUGUAUUCGAACUGUAUUGAUUGCCGGCCUGUUGAAGGCCUUAUGUGUAAAUAUAAUCAUGCAUGCGUUUGGCUUUCCAUUGUUCUUUGCUUUUCAUCCUUCGGCUGUUUCCUUUGCAGCCCUCCCUUGGUUGCCGCCUUCCCAGCCGGGCAGCUGCUCUGCAGUCUGUGGCUGGAGAAGUGCUUGGCCAGUUGGGAGGGCAAGUACUCUAGCUUUGUUGGAUUGUAGCGAAGUGACUUGGAAGCCGGUCAGCCGGCUGUUUUCACAGUCGGUAGGCGUGGUUGGAGGCCGGCUUGUGUUAUAUAAGUUCGUUAGUCCUUAGCUGUUUUUCGUGUGGGCGUCCUUUCUGCCUUUGGCUCUUGCCAGUCGGACAGUCGGUUCUUCGAGCUGUGACUUACAACAAGAGAGGGCUCGGGUGCUGGCACACUACUUGUCUGACUUCAGGUACAACUUUUAAUAUAACUUAAGGCGGCCAGUCCCCGGGCCGACUAGUCAAACCCGGUGCCACAUAGAAAAUCAAAUGUAAUAAUACAUUCAUGGGUAUGACACUCGUCAUUCAUAAAUAAAGGAGGGCAGUCCCCGAGUGCGCCUCGGGGGGCCCGCUGUCUUGUACUUAAUACAAAAAGGUAGCAUGAUACAUACUGCUUUUAACUGUAGAAUCUUCUCAGGAGAUUGGCGUUCCAUGGUCGUUCCGACUCCUUGCCGGAAUCAUCCCUCUUGCUUGCUCUUGGCUUCUGUGCGUCGACCAGGUAGUAGGAGUCGUUGCCAAGGGCCUUACCGAUGACGAAAGGGCCUUCCCAAGGGGCCGAGAGCUUGUGCUGGCCGACUGUUCGCUGGAUCAGCCGGAGCACAAGAUCGCCCUCUUGGAAGGAUCUUGGCUUGACUUUCCGGUUGUGGUAACGGCGCAAACCCUGCUGGUAGAUGGCGGACCGGCUGAGUGCUAACAGCCGGCCUUCUUCCAGCAGGUCGACGCCGUCUUCUCGCGCUUCCUUGGCCUCCGCCUCCGUGUACAUGGUGACCCGAGGCGAGUCGAACUCGAUGUCUGUUGGGAUGACCGCCUCGGCACCAUAUACAAGGAAGAACGGAGUGAAGCCGGUUGACUUGUUCGGGGUAGUACGCAAACUCCAGAGGACAGCCGGCAGCUCAUCGAGCCAGCAGCCGGCCGAACGCUCCAGUGGUAUGACCAGUCGGGGCUUGAUGCCGGAGAGGAUGAGGUCGUUUGCUAGCUCGACCGGGCCGUUUGACUGCGGGUGGGCAACGGACGCUAAGUCCAGUCGGAUGCCCUGUGUCGCGCAGAAACGUGCCAGUGCUCCCUUGGCAAAAUUCGUGCUGUUGUCGGUGAUGAUGCUGUGUGGUACACCAUACCGAGUAGUGAUGUCUGCGAUGAAUGUCACGGCAGUCGGCCCGUUCAGCUUCUUGAUUGGCUUCGCUUCAAUCCACUUGGUAAAUUUGUCCACGGCGACAAGCAGAUGUGUCAUGCCGCCGCAGGCUGUCUUGAAUGGGCCCACCAUGUCCAGCCCCCAAACGGCAAAGGGCCAGGUGAGGGGGAUGGUCUUGAGUGCAGAAGCCGACAGGUGUUGCUUGGAGCUAAAGACUUGGCAUCCUUUGCAGCAUUUGACUAAUUCCUUGGCAUCUUCCAAAGCAGUCGGCCAGAAGAAACCAUGGAGGAAAGUUUUGGCGGCAAGUGAUCUUGAGGCCGCGUGGUGGCCGCAUUCGCCUUGGUGGAUAUCCUUGAGGAUUGCUAUGCCCUUCUCUGGCUCGACGCAGCACUGGAAGACUCCAGUGACGCUAUGCUUGACAAGUUCUCUGUUUAUUAUUGUGUAUGCUCCGGCUCGGCAUUGAACUAAUCUUGCCGAGAUCUCAUCAGUCGGCAGCUCUCUGUUGACUAGGAAGUUGAGGAUGGGCUGGGCCCAUGAUGGAGCUGUGACUUCUUUUGUUGUCAGUACGGCCACUAUGACCCGGGUGGGUGGGUUGGGUGGUGGAGAGUUGGAGUCAGCCACCGCCUGUUGUGUCGCUGCAGUCCCCGGGCCGGGUUCUGAACUCCCCGAGCCGGGUGAGACUACGGCAGUCCCCGGGCCGCUUGUCGAAGUCCCCGAGCCGCCUGCUGGGUUCCUCUAGUCGGAUCCGACUGCCUCAGGGGCAGGUGGUACAAAGAUAGAGUCCGAUUCUGGAGACGGCUUGAUAGAUGGUUUGAGGAGGCGCUAGAGAGAGACACCGGUUGGUAUAGCUUGUCGGGUGGAGCCGAUCCGUGCCAGGGCAUCUGCAUGGUCGUUGUCGGCCCGUGGCAUGUGGAGGAACUCGCACCCUUCAAAGUAUCCACUAAUCUGCUGGACGAGGAAUCGAUAGCUCGCCAUUUUUGCGUCCUUGGCGUCCCAGUCGCCAGAUGACUGCUGGACCACCAAGUCCGAGUCGCCAUAACACAGGAUCCGGCGUAUGCCGAGCUCUUUGGCUAGCCAGAGCCCGUGUAUGAGCACCUCGUAUUCAGCCACAUUGUUGGAGGCGGCAAAAUGGAUUUUCAAUGUGUAUCUGAGCUUGUCGCCCUUGGGAGAGGUGAGGACUAUGCCGGCUCCCAAGCCGGUGCACAUCUUGGACCCGUCGAAGUGCAUCCGCCAAUGAGUGGAGUCAGGAGCCGGCGGUAGGUACUGGGUCUCGGCCCAGUCGACAAGGAAGUCGGCCAAUGCUUGGGACUUGAUGGCGGUGCGGGGCUGGUAGAAGAUCGUGUAAGGACCCAGCGCAAUGGCCCACUUAGCCACCCGGCCGGAUGCAUCCCGGCUGCCUAUGAUCUCGGCAAGCAGGGCGGUGCAUACGACCGUGAUGGGAUGCUCUUGAAAGUAGGGCUUCAGCUUCUUGGCGGCGAAGUACACUCCAUAGCACAUCUUCUGGUAGUGCGGGUAGUUUUGCUUUGAGGUGGACAGUACUUCGCUUAAAUACUAUACCGGCCUCUGGACUAACUGGGCUCGGCCUUCUUCUGGGCGCUGGACCACGAUGACUGUACUGACCACUCGGCUAGUCGCAGCAAUGUAGAGGAGCAUGGGCUCCUUCUCAGUCGGCGCUGCCAGGACGGGUGGAGUGGUUAGCAUCUUCCUCAACUCAUGGAAAGCUUGGUCUGCUUGGUCGUUCCACUCGAAGUGGGUGGAUUUCUUCAUGAGUCGGUACAGGGGGAGAGCCUUCUCGCCUAGCCUGCUGAUAAAGCGGUUUAGGGAGGCCAGGCACCCGGUGAAUUUCUGAACGUCUCACAACUUGGUGGGAAUCUCCAUUCUCUCAAUGGCCUUGAUCUUCAUAGGGUUGCACUCAAUGCCGCGUUCGGAGACCAAAAAGCCUAGAAGAUGGCCGGCUGGUACUCCGAACACGCAUUUCUCGGGGUUGAGCUUGAUCUGGAAUCGGCGCAAGUUGGCAAAUGUUUCUCUGAGGUCUUCCAGUAGGGUGCCGCGCUUCUCCGUCUUCACCACAAUAUCGUCUACAUAAACGUGGGCAUUUCUGCCGAGUUGCUUGAGGAGGCAUUUCUGCAUGCAACGCUGAAAAGUGGCACCGGCAUUCCUCAAGCCGAAUGUCAUAGUCAGGUAGCAGAAAGCUUCGAAUGGUGUGAUGAAGGCGGUCUUCAGGCGGUCGGCUGGGUCCAACUUGAUCUGGUGGUAUCCGGAGUAGGCAUCCAAGAAACUCAACAGCUCGCAUCCGGCUGUGGAGUCUAUCACUUGAUCAAUCCGUGGUAGGGCAAAUGGACCUUUGGGGCAGGCUUUGUUGAGGCUAGUGUAAUCUAUACACAUACGCCAUUUGUUGUUCUUCUUCAACACCAAAACCGGGUUGGCAAGCCAUUCUGGGAAAAACACUUCCAUAAUGAAGCUGGCAGCCAGGAGCCGGGCUAUCUCUUCUCCUACGAUCCUUCUCUUCUCCUCCGACAGUCGGCGGAGAGGCUGCUUGACUGGUUUCGCGUCCGCUCGGACGUGUAGCUUGUGCUCGGCGAAAUCCUUCGGAACACCUGGCAUGUCCUUUGGGGACCAUGCAAAGAUGUCUCGAUUCUCACGGAGGAAGUCGACGAGCUCGCCUUCCUAUUUACUGUCCAGGUUUGCACCAAUGACAGCAAACUUCUCCGGGUUCUCCGGGUCCAGAGGUAUCUUCUUUGUCUCCUUGGCAGGCUGGAAGGAGCCCUGAGCAUCAUAUUCCCAUGGGUUGGGGGACAGGGCCGGCUCCUUGCCGGCCAUGGCCACAACUCGGUCCAGCAUCUUCUUCUCUUCAGCAACCACGAGGGACUUGGCCAGUCGGCUACUGGCUACAGCGCACUCGAUGGACUUCUUGUAGUCUCCGGUUACAGUGAUGAUCCCCUCUGAACUCGGCAUCUUCAUCUUGAGGUAAGCGUAGUGGGGCACAGCCAUGAACUUGGCCAGGGCAGGUCGGCCAAGCAAGGCGUGGUAAGGGCUUUCUACGUCCACUACUUCGAACUAGAUCGCUUCUCGGCGAAAGUGAUCCUUGUCUCCGAAGAGAACAUCCAUCUUGAUCUUGCCGAUUGGGGAACAGGAUAGGCUGGUUACGAUGCCAUGGAACACAGUCCGGCUUGGCAUGAGCUGCUUCGCCUUGAGGUUCAACUUCUCCAUGGUGUCGCGGUACAGUAUGUUGAUACUGCUUCCGCCAUCAAUCAGCACGCGGGAGAAACGGGCAGCUCACCUUUCCGUUGCGAGGGUGACGUCCAACACCAAUGCGUAGGAGCCAGGAGACGGCAUCACCUCUAGGUGAUCGGCCCGGCUCCAGCUGAUAGGCCUUUCAGACCAAUUCAUGAACUCGGGGUUGCUGGCGGCGACCGCGUUGACUUCUUGGUGCUGUCGGCGCCGACUGCGCUUGUCUUCAAUCUGGCUCGUGAAGACGACGUAGGUGGUGUGCUCAUCUGGGAACUCAUCCUGAAUGGCUCUGACUGCUGGUCGAGCAGCCGGCUGCUGGGGUGCCGGAGGCGGCGGGCCGGGAGGCGGAGGCGGCACCAGCCCCUCGCCCUUGGAGAUCCGCGUGAGCCAAUGGCACUUCCGGGUCAUGUGGUUGGACGGCUUCGCGCCGCUGUGGAACUUGCAGGGGGCAUCGAGAGUUUGCUCGUAGGAGAAGGCUGGCUACCAAGCCGGCCUGCCGCCCUUCUUCUUGGGAGCGGGCCACUCUUCGGGCUGCUCGUCUUCGACGGUGGCUACUUGCCAACUGGUGGAAGGCGGCAUAGGGGCCUUGCGCUUGUGGUCGUUCUGGUAGGGGCGUCGGUUGGAGUCGCCAGCCGGCGUGUUGGGAGCCGGAGCGAGCACCUUUCCAGAGGCGUCCACUCGGAGCUCGGUCUUCAUCGAGGAGUCGGCCGUGGCGUACUUGUCUGCUAUGACCAGCAGCUCGUCGAGGGUAGUUGGCUCAUCGUAGAGGAGUCGGUGCUUGAGGAGGGUGCCCUCUCGGCACCCGGCAGUGAAGUAUUCUAUGGCUUGAACCUCGUGCAUCCCCUCGCAGGAGUUGUGGAGCUCGGCCCACCGCGUGAGGUAGUCGCGAGUCGAUUCGCUGGGCCCUUGGACGCAUAAGGAGAGCUGGCGGGGCUUGGGAGGCCGCUUGUAUGUGCUGGUGAAGUGGCGGAUGAAGACUUCCGUGAAGUCUAGCCAGCUGUUGACGCUGUAGGGCUUGAGGCUGUUCAGCCAGGUACGCGCCGUGCCUUGAAGCAUGAGAGGGACGUACUUCACGGCAACGCGCCUGUUGCCGUUUGCUAUGCUGACGGCGGUAGAGUAGUCGAUCAGCCAAUCUUCUGGCUUCACAGAGCCGUUGUACUUGGGCGUGUCUCUGGGAAGUGAGAACCCUUUGGGGAAGGGCUCGUCGCGGAUGCGGGGGCCAAAGCAAGGCGGGCCGACAUUGUCUUCUUCUUCUAACGCCAGGGAUCGCGCUAGGCGGUCGAUCCAGUGGCGGGCAUCAUUCUCGCCGACUCCUUCGCGAUGGCCUAGUCGGCCACCGAGAGUAGGAUGCGUGACAGGCGGCGGGGUGGGAUAUCUCUCCCCACGAGGCGGGGGGGAGGCGGAUUGCCUUGUCGUUCCACCGCUCGAGGGCGGCCUUCUGCGUCGCGCUCAAUGGUGAUUCGAGUCCAGCUGCGGCUAGCAGCCGGCUCCUUGUCUUUCCUUGCGCGGGCGCCGCUCGCAGUUGGCGACCGGGAUGUCGCGGCGUGUUCUCGGCGUGGGGGAGGACUCUCAGCGCGGGCGCCGGCUUCAUGCCGUUCUGCGGCAGCGUCGAUCAGCUGUUGGAUGCGCCUUGUCAUGUAGCGGAGCUCAUCAGCCCCCAGCCCGUUCAGCUCUUCUGCGGCCGCCUGAGCGGCUCGCAGAUUCUCGAGCGGCGUGGCGUAGACUGGGCGGUCUGCCCCCAGCAUGCUGGCGAUGGCCGCGCCAUGCUUCUUGACAAGGCCGGCUCGGCUCGGCCCGCCAUGAGGUGGCGUACCAAAGGCGGCGCGGUCGACUUCGUGCCAGUGAGCCUUAGUGAGGCGUCUCAUGGACGCUAUCUUCUGGCCCUCCGCGAUGAGGGCGAGGCGGCGUGCCUCCAGAGUCUCGGCGUCGGCGUCGGCCGGGAUGGGGACGGACAAGUCGUGCAGCGCCGCUUGUAGGGCGUCGUGGGCGUUCUCGCCCGAGACGGUGCCGUGGCUGAUGACCAGCACCUCAGUGAAAGCGCUGCUGCCACUGUCGGCUCGAGGGAUAGGGUCGUCGAAGAUCACCACGUCGGUGGGGAAAGCGUCAAGCGAUGCCAUGUCGGAGUUGACAAGCAUCGGGUCAGUAGAGCCGACCGACUCCAAGUCCACAGCAAGCUCGCUGGAGACGUGAAGCUGGUCGAGGAGGCUGACGAGGCGGCUCUCGGGGUAGUCUGUGACGUGGGCUCGUCGGAGAUGCGCGUCUCGCCAAGAAGGUCGGCGAGGCAGCUCGCCGCGUAGGCGUCGUCGACGCCUUGCUGCGCGUCAGGGCAAGCGCCAUCGGGCGUAGCGGGCUGGCUACGCUCGCGGGGGAGGAAAAGGGUUCCCGUCCAGAACAGGUCUCCGGACGACGGUGCACCUGGCCCCACGGUGGGCGCCAAAUGUCGGGUGGUAGGUGCGACAUAUGCCAACGGGUGGCUUAUCAUUGUGGGAGCCAGUAAGACAUCGCCGGUGCCUGGAAACGGGAUAAGGCGAAGACAUGCACACCGGCGGAUCUUACCUAGGUUCGGGGCUCUCCGUGGAGAUAACACCCCUAGUCCUGCUGUGCGGGGUCUCCGCAUGAUCACUAGAUCAAUACAAGUAGCUACAAGUGCUUCUUGAGCUGUUUGGCUAGGGGAAGAAGAAGGGCAAGGCUAGCUCUCCUUUUCUCUCUAUGUGGUGUGUGAAACUAUGUGAGAUCAACCCUUUGCAUGGGUGUCCCGGGGGGUUUAUAUCGGCCUACCCCCCAGGGGUACAAUGGUAAUCCGGCUGGGCGCGGGUCCCAGCCGUCAGUGUCUAUGCUCUCCGGCUUCUCCGCCGGCCAUUGGGGCCCGCCGACUGCUGGGUCCCGCCGGCUGUCGGCCUCUUGGCCGACAGGCCGGCCCCACCGCUUGGGGGCCUUGUCGGCGGCUGGUUACUGUUGCCUCGCCCCUGAUGACGAGGGCUUUGUCGAGGUAAGCGUGGCUACAGUGCCGCCGCCUUGCGGGCUCUCGCUGUUGCCUCACCUCGUCUUGUCUCCUUAAUGAUGCACAUGUUUCGAGGGAGGGAGGUAGCCGGCUAUUGGGAGCCGGCUACGCCCCCGGCUGACUAGGGGAGGCCGGGCCGCCUUCGAGCGUCUCUCUGGCUAAAGGGGCCCGCCGCCCGCGGGUCGUACUGGCGCCUGUCGUGGGUGACGUUGAGGUCAACAUGGCUACAGUGCCACGCCGGACGGGGGAUGGCUGACCCGUACGGCGCCCUGUGGCAAUGCCUGUUUCGGGAUUCGGGGGUAGUGGGCUGUACUGCGGCCAUGCCCCGUCUUAUCACCGUUAUGUGGAUGCAGCCCUGGUGGGUGCAGUCUUGGCCGGCUUCUGGGAGUCGGCUCUCUUCAUGGCUGGCUUCUGGGAGUCGGUCCUUUGGGGCCGGCUUCCUGGAGUCGGCCAUCUCGUAGCUUUCUUCGGGAAGGUUUUUGAGGCCGGGUCGCCUUCUGGUAGUCGGACCUGGGGAUAGCCGGCCGGAGGAAGGCGGCCCCAUGCUCUGGAUGCUUGAAGGCUCGAAUGGCCUGAUGAUUUUUUGAAGAGCCAGGGGGAGUCGGUUAGGCUACCCGUGGCCAUUUACUCCGACAGCGCGUUCCACCAGAACAUGCGCAAGCUGGCGAUGACCAAGGUUAAGGAUGUGUCCGAGCUCUACGUUCUGGCCGGUAGGUGCGCCCGGGCUGAAGAGGGAAGGAAGUACCCCGGCAAAGACGCCGGUGCGGAAACCGACUCUACCGAUGAAGACGCCGCUACCCCGACGAAGAAAGGGCCGGCGUCGCAACAGGAAACGCAAAGGCAAGGCCGUGCUUGCCGCUGAGGGAUCUGACGACACCGGUGCCGGCAAGAAGGUCAAGGCAGGUGCCCUCGACAAGGAGAUUGCCGGGUGCGCCGCCUGCCGGGCCUUGGCGGCUACCGACAAGCCAGGAAGCUCCGGCAAGCAAUACUGCAAGAUCCAUCGCACCAAGGGCCACGACCUCCAGAACUGCCGACAAGUCGAGCUGAUUGCUGAGAAGCAAAAGGCUGAGUACGAGAGGUGGGACAAGGAGAAGGACCAGGACGGUGCUUAGGGAUAUGGCAAGAAGCGUGGUGGCCAAGGAAGCCGCCCGGCAAGGACAACCAGCAAGAGAGGCCCGCCCGGGGCCGCGACAAGAAACAAGAAGACGAUGAUCACGACGAGGACGACGAGGACGGUGAGCAAGGGUUCCAGAAGGCUACGGAGGCCAUGUGCGUCGAUGGCGGCGCCUCGCUGCAUACCUCUCACCACCAGCUCAAGCAGUGGGCGCGUGAGAUUACAGCAGCGGAGCCGUCGUUCGACGCUCAGAAGCCGCUGAAGUGGUCCAGCACGCUCCUCAUCUUUGACGCCGAGGACCACCCUGACCACACUACCGCGGUCGGGUGUUUGCCAUUGUUGGUCUCACCAACAAUAUGCAACCUCAGGGUGAACAAGAUGUUGGUUGACGGUGGGGCCGUCCUGAACCUGAUCUCGCCUGUCGUGAUCAAAAGGUUGCAAAUCCCUGAUGGAGACCUCGAGGAAACGGGCACGUUCCAAGGGGUCAAUCCAGGGAGGAGCCAGCCGAAGGGAAAGGUCACACUGCCCGUGACAUUUGGAGGAGAGUUGAACUACAGGACGGAGAGGAUCGUCUUCGACGUGGCCGAGAUCCCCUUGCCCUACAACGGGAUCCUCGGCCGCCCGGCGCUAGCCAAGUUCAUGGCGGCGUCACACUACGCCUACAACAUGCUAAAGAUGCCUGGGCCGUUGACCAUCAUCUCCGUCCCCUCCGACAAGAAGGACGCGCUGAUUUGCGCCGACCAACUCUACCAGGAAGCAGUUGCAGCAACUGCCACCAAGGCGCCUGCUCCUGCAGCUGCAGCCCCGGGAGGGAAGAAGAAGCCCGGCAAGACCUCUCGCACCCACUCCGGCAAGCGCACCUCUUUGGAGUGUUGUGCUACCGUCGAGGACGUGCCAGAGAGCUCUACCGGCAAGAGCAAGAGAUCCAGAGCCAAGCCACCGCAGACCAAGAAGGUGUCCGCCAGGGAGGAUGGCACGGGAGGGGCCUUCACCAUAGGCUCCACCCUCGGCAGCAAAUAGGAAGGCGCGCUCGUCACCUUCCUGCGGGCGAAUGUCGACGUGUUUGCAUGGCAAGCAUCCGACAUCCCCGGUGUUCCUAGGGAGGUGAUUGAGCACCACCUAGCUGUCUGCCCCCAUGCACGGCCCAUCAAGCAGAAGGUCAGAAAGCAGGCUCUGGAGAGGUAGGAGUUCAUCACACAGGAGAUCAGGAAGCUGGAAGCGGCAGGGUUGGUGAGAGGAGUGCUCCACCUGACGUGGUUGGCCAAUCCGGUAGUGGUGCGCAAGGCGAAUGGGAAGUGGAGGCUGUGUAUUGAUUACACAGAUAUCAAUAAGGCUUGUCCUAAGGACCCCUUCCCGUUGCCGCGCAUCGACUAAGGACCCCUUCCCGUUGCCGCGCAUCGACCAGAUUGUUGACUCCACAGCCGGGUGUGAUCUGUUAUCAUUCCUCGACGCCUACUCAGGCUACCACCAGAUCUUCAUGACAAGAGAGGAUGAAGAAAAGACAGCGUUCAUCACCCCAUGUGGUACGUAUUGCUUUGUACGGAUGCCUUUCGGGUUGAAGAGCGCUGGCUCAACAUUUGCAAGAGCAGUCCAAAUUGGUUUUGAACCUAUGGAACCGGGUACCUUUUUGCUCCGGCUAACUCAACCAUCCGUCAAACCAUCAACGGGGCAAAACAAGCAAAGGAAGUCGGAUCACGGCAAGUACUUUCCUACCGAGCCCUCUGGGGCUGCCGGCAAGGGAGCUGCCGCGGACGGUGAGCCUGCCCAAGAGCAGCUGCCUCCGGCAGGGCAUCAAGCCCUAGCCGUAGAGACAGCCGCUCCCAUGGCGGAAGAAAUGCCUUUGGUCCUUGUUGUCGAGCCCUAGGCUCCGGCGUGGGCGCAGCAUACCGUCCGAUUCCUCCAAAUAGGGGAGCUUCCUGAGGAGCAGGAAGAAGCGGAGAAAGUAGCCCGUCGGUCCGCCCUGUACCAGUUCGUCGAUGACGUCCUGUACAGGAGAAGGCCGAACGGCGUGAAAUUGAAGUGCAUCCCCCGGGAGGAAGGACUGGAGCUGUUGGCGGAGAUACAUGGAGGCAUAUGUGGCUCCCACAUAGGGUCGAGGGCCCUUGCCGGAAAGGCGUUCCGGCAAGGUUUCUUCUGGCCCACCGCCCUCCAGGAUGAGACGGCACUAGUAACCAAGUGUGAAGCGUGUCAGUUCCAUUCAAAGAAGCUUCAUCAACCAGCCCAAGCCCUUCAAACAAUCCCUCUCUCCUGGCCAUUCUCGGUCUGGGGCCUCGACAUACUGGGCCCUUUCCCCCGCGCUCUCGAGGGCUUUGAGUACUUGUACGUUGCAAUCGACAAGUUCACGAUGUGGUCGGAGGUGGAAGCAAUGAGAAAGGUGACUGCUCAGGCAGCUGUCAAGUUUUUCAAAGGACUGGUCUACCGUUUUGGUGUGCCAAAUAGAGUCAUCACCGACAACGGCACGUAGUUCACGAGCCACACCUUCAUGAAGUACAUUCAAGACCUCGGCAACAAGGUCUGUUUUGCUUCCGUGGCACACCCACGGAGCAACGACCAAGUGGAGAGGGUGAAUGCUGAAGUGUUGCGAGGCCUAAGGACAAAGACUUUUGACAAGCUGCGCAAGAGCGGAAGGCGCUGGAUUGAUGAAUUGCCGACGGUUCUUUGGUCGAUCAAAACGACGCCAAAUCGAGCCACCAGCCAGACACCUUUUGCCCUGGUCUACGGGGCAGAAGCAGUUCUCCCCACAGAACUCAUAUACGGGUCACCUCGAGUGCUCGCUUAUGAUGAGCUUGAGCAAGAGCAUUUGCGCCAAGACGACACGACGCUCCUUGAGAAAGAUCGUCUUCGGGCGGCUGUGAGAGCAGCGCGCUACCAGCAAGCCUUGCACCGCUACCAUAGCCGCAAGGUUCAUGCCCGAAGCUUUGAGGAAGGCGACCUUGUUCUUCGGCGCGUUCAGUCGGCCAAGAAUGCCAACAAGUUGACGCCAAAGUGGGAAGGCCCUUAUCGGGUAAUACGAGUCACCAGGCCCGGCGCAGUCCGCCUGGAGACCGAAGAUGCCGUCCCAGUGAGCAACUCCUGGAACAUCGAGCAUCUUCGCAAGUUUUACCCAUAAGGCGCGGCUUGCCGGGCCUCCCGGCAAGCCACCUUUUGUACAAGCUUUGCCGGCAAGGCAUGUAACCCUUCGUACAAAGCCAGGCGCAGACCCUGAGCAUAAAUAAAUGAAGCGCUGGCGCCCUAAGUCAUAUCAUGCAUGCUAUGUCGAGUCUCUUCCUUGGUUAGGGUUGAUAGUGCUCAGCAGCGACUAACCCCUAGCUUAGAGGUCGAGUACGCGUCUAUCUGUUUCUCUUAUGUCCUCCUUUGGUUCGCAAGGCACAUGAGCACUUCUGUUGAGCUACUUGGAAGAAAGGAAACGGACCGGCAUCCUGACCCCGGCAAACGAGAGUUGCCGGGGGCUGCAAGCACAAGGGUCCAACCGCGGCAAGAUGAGAUCGCCGGGGGCUGCAGAUCCAGAUAAGUCUUUCAUCCUCUGUCAUGCAUUUCGGAACAGAACUGGGGCAUGUGAAACCUCGUUUUUAUCUCUAGGCUGCCGUGCUCCCCUUUUUCCUAUACCUAAGGAUUAUUUCCUGGGUCUGGAUUUGGUCGUAGCCACGGCGGCAAGGAGGUAGAACGAGGAGCCUAAAGCCCACUUCAUCCCUGCCUCUGCCAAGAGCACGAGAAUGAUCGAGUGGAGUGGGGGGACGGCAAGGCCUGUUGCCGGGCGAAAAACAUUUAUCUUAAAUAAUAACAAGGAUUCGCUCCUUGUCGCGGGGUCUACCCACGAACGAAAAACCCGGCAAGCAUCCCUUUUUCAUUAAAAACAUCCCAUACAGGUGCAGUUCAUACGGAAUGAAAAACAUGAGCAAGGGGAUUACAAGUUCUGAAUUUAACAAAGGCCCGCAGGCUUACAAACUAAAGAAGAGAGAUAAGAUGCCCGUGAUCCCUUUCUUGUCCCUCUCCUCAGAAGGCAGGUCAAGGAGGCGAGAGGGCAAAAGGGGCGCCUAGGCAAGCUAUGAGCAGCAGAAAGCACCAAGAGAACACCUCGGUGACCGCCCAGGGGCGGGUCGGUGAUGACGGUGCCGGGAAAGGAGCUAGAAGCCGAGGCGGCAGGACCGGCAGUACGCGACGAAGGCGUCGGUGCCCGCGUACUCCGAGUUCACGGCCUUGCCGCCCGCCCUCUUCCUCUUCCGCAGCCUCCCGACGCCAGCCGCCCAAGGAGACGGCCCCGAGAAGUUCAAGGAGCUAGCCCCGCCCCUGGCAAAACUCUGCCGGAGGAGCGGCCAGGUGCAGAUGUUGCUGCUGCCGACGCCUAGUCGGACUCGUCCCCCCGUCUGCCCCGCUAUCCUCCUCGUCACUUUCGCUCGAGGAAGAGCUUCCAUCGUCGGAAUCUCCAUCGGAGGAGCUCUCCACGCAGCACUUCAGGCGGGUCCCGAAGUCGCCGAAGACCUUUACGGAGAGCAGGCCGUCCUCCAUUAAUUUGAAGUAGAGGACGAGCCCCGUCGUCAGGCUAUGGAUACGAGCAAACGUCUUCCACCCACGCCGGAGGUACAUGACCCGAGCAGCCGGGAAGUCAACGUCGACCCGCGUGCCCCCAUUCCCACAACCCCUCAUGUGCAAUCUGAGGGAUUGGGGCGGGUCAUGCUCCAUCUCCCGAGCGAAUGGGGCGGGAAGACGAAGAUGGCGACGCGGAGGCCAGCGCAGCCUGAUGAAGAACUCACGGGGCUGGUCUCCAACAUGGCCUUCCAUUGGAAAAGGCAUCAUUGGCGGGGGCGAAGCCGACGCGCUGCCCCGCCCUCCUCUUCCCCAAGCACUACGACCUCUGCCCCGGCCUCGCCCACAGCCUCGCCCCCUCCCCCUUCCCCUCGCGGCCGGCUCCACCACCGCGGGCUCAGGAGGAGGAGGGAUGCGCUGUCGAGCGGCGACCCUCACCGCCACCGUCGAGAGACCAGGAUUCCCCUUCUCCAUGGCGAGUGGAAGGAAGAAGCAGAAGCGAGAGGAGAUAGAUGACGGAAGAGUGCGGGACGCCGUCCCCCUUCCCCCUCUUUAUAAGGAGGCGGGGACAGGGCUCGGCCCCCCCGCUCGGCCAAUCCAGCCACCAGAGGCGCAGGGAAUCAGGACCGACCCGCUGCCCCAACCAGCUAUGGCCCGGUUUCCCGCCUCCACCGCUUGCAACCCCAGGUCCAUGGAGGAGGCGUGGCGGACGCGCAGAAACCGAGGGGACAGGCGAAGCGACCUCUCCCCACCCCGUGAUCGUGGGGAGUGGACGCCUUGAAGACCGCGCCCCGGCCCCGUUCAGUAAAUGAGCCGCGCCUCCACGCCUCCCUCUUUUUACGGGGAAGGCACGAGCCGCCUCUUUACUGCGAUGUGACGCAUGCAUGUGGAAACUGCCCCACGCAUGCCGCCCAUGUCACGCACACCCCUCCACGCCGCGCCGCGCGCGCGGGUCGUGGGAAGCGCCGCGCGCGAAAAGUUUUACCAUGAUAAAAACCGCCCCGCCUGCCCGCGCACCAUUUUUGGGCCUGGCCCAACAACGUGUCGCGCUUAUGUGUGGCCCGGGCCCGGGGGCUCCUGUCGGUGUACAAAAGGAGGGGUGCGUUUUUGUACCCCUAUACCUAUGCACGGGCAGCCGGAGUCGCGCCUACGGUCACGCCAAGCAGAACAGGGGAGGUGAGCCAAGGUAAGACCCCGUCGCGCUCCGCCUCUAGCUCCUCCACCUUGCCGGCGUGAACCUGGGCCUGGGCAUUGAGUGCCUCUUCGUGCCUCUGCUCCAGCUCACUGGUCCGCUGCAAGACAAGCUUCUCCACCUCUGCAUCCUUGCCGGGAAGCAUGGCGGCAAGAUUUUCCUCGCGUGCAGCGAGGUCCUCCUCCUGGGAGUUCAGCGCGGCCUCGUGCUGGGUCCGGGCGGCUUCGGCGGCCGCAGCCAAGUUCCUCGUCGUCUCUUGAGCUUUCUCGACGUCGGCGAGCUUCAUGGUGAGCUCCGCGUCGCGCUUGCCCAGCUCGCCCUGAGCGGCCUUGAGCUCCUUGUGGGCCUCGCGGAACCAGUCCUGCGUCUCGGCAACGCGCUUCUGGAGGUCCGCCUCCGCCUUCUCCACCACCGCCGUCCUGGACAUAGCCUUGUCUAGGCGGGAGCGGUGGAGCGCCUGGAGCUUCCGGAAGCUGGCACCCAUGGCGUGGAGGAGCCACUCUUCCUGCGAACCGUCGCCACCAACGAUCGGCUCGUCGACGACUUCAAGCCCGGCAGCGGCAAGCACUUCGUCGUCGAACACCUCUCCCUCAACGGGUGUCCUGGUGCUCGACGCACCUGGAAGGUGGACGAACAAGUCGUCGCUCACCCUCAAGUACUUGCCGGAGCCGGAAGCAGCAGAAGAGGAAGGCAGGCGGAGGUUUUCGAGAUUGGGGUUGCGCGAAGGGUAAAAGGAACAGUGCGCCCGCGGUUAUCCCUUUUUAUGAGGAAGCCGCGGGUCACGCUGCCCAUUUACUGUGAUGUGACGCAUGCGUGCAUGAACCGCCCCACGCAUGCCGUCCACGUCACGCACACCCCUCCACGCCACGCCGCGCGCAUGGGUCGUGGGAAGCGAAGCGCGCGAAGAGUUUUACUGCGGUAAAAACCGCCCCGCUUGCCCGCGCACCAUUUUGGGCCUGGCCCAACAACGUGUCGCGCUUAUGUGUGGCCCAGGCCCGGGGGCUCCUGUCGGUGUACAAAAAGAGGGGUGCGUUUUUGUACCCCUAUACCUGUGCACGGGUAGUCGGAGCUGCGCCUACGGUCACGCCAAGCAGAGCAGGGGAGGUGAGCCAAGGUAAGACCGAAGCUCAAGAUAAUCAGAGCAAAGCCAAGGCCAAGACCACAAAGAGCAGAGGGACGAAGCAGGUUCCCCCGGCAAGAUCCUUGCUGGGACAGCUCGCCCCACACCAACAGAGCGAGCCACCCUUGAGGCCACGGUCCCCGACGCCAUCAUCCACGUUGGGCCAGGGCUCGGGAGGCACCUCCGUGGUGGCAUGCUGAUCUUUGUGAAGACAUAUUCAAGAUCAGAUGAGGAUUAGAAGACGACGAUCCUCAGCAAGAUCCUUGCCGAGGAAGGCCACCAGACCCUCGGCAAGGCCCUUGCCGGGGACGACAGCGCGCCACGGCAAGACCCUUGCCGGGCCACACGACAAGACCCUUGCCGGGCCACACGACAAGACCCUUGCCGGGCCACCCGGCAAGGCCCUCACCAAGGACGCCAGCAGGGCCACAGCUAGGCCCAUGCCAACCAAGCUUCCAUCGCCGUUCACAUGCAGCUGCCAGCCCAACCAGCUGGGUGGGCACCUGCGUGGCAACAUGCAGCUCCCAGGCCAACUCAUCGAGCGCCUGCGUGGCGGCAUGCAGAUCUUCGUGAAGGUUCCACCACCGCGCCACCUCAGCUGCCUGCCUGCCUACAUGGCACCACAUGCCUCACUGGCCAGGGCGCGUGUCAAAGCGAGCAGGAGCGGCGAUGGACGGGAUGGGCCUCGCCCCCAUCCCCAAUAAAGCAAGGGGACACCUAAGCUACGCAUUAAAUGCAUCUUGUCCUGUAGUACGAGCGAUAAGCUCAGGGCACUGUACGCCUUUCCACCUCCUGUGUGCCACUGUGGCAGCCCCUUUCGACUAUAAAAGGAGGCCCAUGGCAUACUGGAGAAGGAUUCGGCUCUUUCGAACCACGCACUGACCACAGCUAGUUCGAGAGCUCAAGAACGCUCUAAAAUACACCCACCGAAGCAGGACUAGGGUUUUGCGCAUCCUCGCGGCCCUAACCUGGGUAAACGAUCCUUGUGCUGGCUACUAACCCUGCUCUUCUCGCAACCCCGCGCCCCGGCAACCGUAGUAGGGAUUCUUGUGAUCCCAUAGGUGUCGUUCCACACCGACAUCUUUGGCGCACCAGGUAGGGGCGUGCGUAGUUGUGAGAAUCUGGCCUAGCAACUAACCUAGCCGUUCUUCAUCACCCUUGGCUCCUGAGAAGAAGGCGGCCGGAGGAGCGACGCCGGCGCGGCAAUAGAAAAGCUAAGUCAUUCAGAGCUUUGAGUUAUUUCCUCCUAUAUAUAAGGUUAUCGUCCUCGGAGAUUUUGCCUAUGUAUGAGAGACCUGCACGCAAAGGGGCCCUCCCACAAUUGGCAACACCCUUGUUCUGUUUUCAGUCCGCUCAACAGCUCAAGCGGCCGCGUCGAGAGCGGCGGGGUAGCCUUCCGCACCUGGCAACGCUCUCGAUUCUGACUCGAGUCAAGCUCGGCAGUUCGGGCGGCCGCACUAAGGGCGGCAAGGUGGUUUGCCCGGCAGCAAGCACACCCGGUAGGCCAAUGGGGAUCCGUCCCCAAGACGCCGCCCUGGGUUUACACGUCGGCAAACCUACCCGGGUAGCGUAGGGUGGACAUACAAAGGAAAAUCGAACAGGAAAAUAACAUGCAUGAUACUGAAAGUGCUGCAGAGUUAUAUUACAUCGAAUUGUUGCUGCGGUUCUAACUAGAGAUAGCGAUUGUCUUGGUUAUGAACCUGCAACGGCGAUAAAGAACGGGGUGCCUAAUCCCGGCGCUGGCCCUCCACCCUCUGAAUUUCGCCGACUCGGCUGAUGAUGGGCUUUGAUGCGCUCCCUGAGCGACGCGAGGUCAGUACCCUCCGGCAAGCUCUCCAGCGCGGCGUCGAAGUCGAGGUCGGGGUACUAGUGUGCCACCUUGGUGAGAACCUUGGUCAUGGCACCCUGGCAAAGCCUCCGGGACUCGUCGGCCAGUGAGGUCGCCCGGUUGGCGUGGAGCCGCUCCAGAGCCCCGACGACCUUCUCAAAGAACAUCGUCAUGCAGCAAUUGGCGCUCACGCUCCGCUCUGGGACAUACCUCACGUCCGGCAUCCCCAUGAUGGCCAGCUACGCGGCGGCCUGGUUGGCGACGGUGGCGAGGCGAUCGAGCCAGCGGUUCUCGCCCUCCACAUGAUCUGCGAAGUUGAGGCCCUCGUUCUUCCGCAACAGCUUCUCGGCCUCCAGCUCCUUGGCCAGGGUCCCCUCUCGGGUUUUGGCCUCCGACAGCACCUUCUCGAGACCCUCCAGCUUCAGCUUGAGGUCUUUGAUGGAGUUGUUGGCCUCGGAGAGCUCCCCAGCCUUGCUGACGACUGCGCCCUACGCCUCUGUCAGGGCACUGUUAAGCAUGUCCUUCUCCUAGGAUAGCUUCAGGGCCUGCUCCUUCAAACCGUCGCGCUCCGCCUCCAGCUCCUCCACCUUGCCGGCGUGAACCUGGGCCUGGGCAUUGAGUGCCUCUUCAUGCCUCUGCUCCAGCUCACUGGUCCGCUGCAAGACAAGCUUCUCCACCUCUGCAUUGUAGCCGCGAAGCAUGGCGGCAAGCUUUUCCUCGCGUGCACCGAGGUCCUCCUCCCAGGAGUUCAGCACGGCCUCGUGCUGGUCUGGGCGCGCGGCUUCGGCGGCCGCGGCCAAGUUCCUCGCCGUCUCUUGAGCUUUCUCGACGUCAGCGAGCUUCAUGGUGAGCUCCGCGUCGCGCUUGCCCAGCUCGCCCUGAGCGGCCUUGAGCUCCUUGUGGGCCUCGCGGAACCAGUCCUGCGUCUCGGCAACGCGCUUCUGGAGGUCCGCCUCCGCCUUCUCCACCACCGCCGUCCUGGACUUAACCUUGUCCAGGAGGACGCGAUGGAGCGCCUGGAGCUUCCGGAAGCUGGCACCAUGGCGUGGAGGAGCCGCUCUUCCUGCGAACCGUCGCCACCAACGAUCGGCUCGUCGACGACUUCAAUCCCGGCAGCGGCAAGCACUUCGUCGUCGAACACCUCUCCCUCAACGGGUGUCCUGGUGCUCGACACGACUGGAAGGUGGACGAACAAGUCGUCGCUCACCCUCAUGUACUUGCUGGAGCCGGAAGCAGCAGAAGAGGAAGGCAGGCGGAGGUUUCCAAGAUUGGGGUUGCGCGAAGGGUAAAAGGAACAGUGCGCCCGCGGUUAUCCCUUUUUAUGGGGAAGCCGCAGGUCGCGCUGCCCAUUUACUGCGAUGUGACGCAUGCGUGCAGGAACUGCCCCACGCAUGUCGUCCACGUCACGCACACCCCUCCACGCCGCGCCGCAUGCGCGGGUCGUGGGAAGAGAAGCGCGCGAAGAGUUUUACUGCGGUAAAAACCGCCCUGCCUGCCCGCGCACCGUUUUGGGCCUGGCCCAACAACGUGUCGCGCUUAUGUGUGGCCAAGGCCCGGGGGCUCCUGUCGGUGUACAAAAAGAGGGGUGCGUUUUUGUACCCCCUAUACCUGUGCACGGGCAGUCGGAGCCGUGCCUACGGUCACGCCAAGCAGAGCAGGGGAGGUGAUCCAAGGUAAGACCGAAGCUCAAGAUAAUCAGAGCAAAGCCAAGGCCAAGACCACAAAGAGCAGAGGGACGAAGCAGGUUCCCCCGGCAAGACCCUUGCCGGGGCAGCCUCAGCAGCCCCGGAAAGAUCCUUGCCGGGACAGCUCGCCCCACACCAACAGAGCGAGCCACCCUUGAGCCCACGGUCCCCGACGCCAUCAUCCACGUUGGGCCAGGGCUCGGGAGGCACCUCCGUGGUGGCAUGCAGAUCUUUGUGAAGACAUAUUCAAGAUCAGAUGAGGAUUAGAAGACGACGAUCCUCAGCAAGAUCCUUGCCGAGGAAGGCCACCAGACCCCCGGCAAGGCCCUUGCCAGGGAUGACAGCGCGCCACGGCAAGACCCUUGCCGGGCCACACGACAAGACCCUUGCCGGGCCACCCGGCAAGGCCCUCACCAAGGAAGCCAGCAGGGCCACCGCCAGGCCCACGCCAACCAAGCUUCCACCGCCGUUCACAUGCAGCUGCCAGCCCAACCAGAUGGGCGGGCACCUGCGUGGCAACAUGCAGCUCCCAGGCCAACUCAUCAAGCGCCUGCGUGGCGACAUGCAGGUCUUCGUGAAGGCUCCACCACCGCGCCACCUCAGCUGCCUGCCUGCCUACAUGGCACCACACGCCUCACUGGCCAGGACGCGUGUCAAAGCGAGGAGGAGCGGCGACGGACGGGACGGGCCUCGCCCCGUCCCCAAUAAAGCAAGGGGACACCUAAGCUAUGCAUUAAAUGCGUCUUGUCCUGUAGUACGAGCGAUAAGCUCAGGGCACUGUACGCCUUUCCACCUCCUGUGUGCCACUGUGGCAGCCCCUUUCGACUAUAAAAGGAGGCCCAUGGCAUACUGGAGAAGGAUUCGGCUCUUUCGAACCACGCACUGACCACAGCUAGUUCCAGAGCUCAAGAACUCUCUGAAAUACACCCACCAAAGCAGGACUAGGGUUUUACGCAUCCUCGCGGCCCGAACAUGGGUAAACGAUCCUGUGUUGGCUACUAACCCUGCUCUUCUCGUAAUCCCGCGCCCCGGCAACCGUAGUAGGGAUUCUUGUGAUCCCAUAGGUGUCGUUCCACACCGACAGUUCGUCGUGCCGAGGCACCACGUGAUGAUCGGGUGUGAUAAGCUCUACGUUCAUCUACAACGGGUGCAAGCUAGUUUUGCACACGCAGAAUACUCGGGUUAAACUUGACGAGCCUAGCAUAUGCAGAUAUGGCCUCGGAACACUGAGACCGAAAGGUUGAGCGUGAAUCAUAUAGUAGAUAUGAUCAACAUAGUGAUGUUCACCAUUGAAAACUACUCCAUCUCACGUGAUGAUCGGACAUGGUUUAGUUGAUUUGGAUCACGUGAUCACUUAGAUGAUUAGAGGGAUGUCUAUCUAAGUGGGAGUUCUUAAGUAAUAUGAUUAAUUGAACUUAAAUUUAUCAUGAACUUAGUACCUGAUAGUAUUUUGCUUGUCUAUGUUGAUUGUAGAUAGAUGGCUCGUGCUGUUGUUCCGUUAAAUUUUAAUGCGUUCCUUGACAAAGCAAAGUUGAAAGAUAAUGGUAGCAAUUGCACGAACUGGGUCCGUAACUUGAGGAUUAUCCUCAUUGAUGCACAGAAGAAUUACGUCCUGGAAGCUCCGCUGGGUGCCAGGCCUACUGCAGAUGCAACUGACGACGUUAAGAACGUCUGGCAGAGCAAAGCUGAUGACUACUCGAUAGUUCAGUGUGCCAUGCUUUACGGCUUAGAACCGGGGCUUCAACGACGUUUUGAACGUCAUGGAGCAUAUGAGAUGUUCCAGGAGUUGAAGUUAAUAUUUCAAGCAAAUGCCCGGAUUGAGAGAUAUGAAGUCUCCAAUAAGUUCUACAUCUACAAGAUGGAGGAGAAUAGUUCUGUCAGUGAACAUAUACUCAAAAUGUUUGGGUAUAACAAUCACUUGAUUGAACUGGGAGUUAAUCUUCCGGAUGAUAGUGUCACUGACAGAAUUCUUCAAUCACUGCCACCAAGCUACAAUAGCUUCGUGAUGAACUAUAAUAUGCAAGGGAUGAAUAAGAUAAUUCCCGAGCUCUUCGCAAUGCUAAAGGCUGCGGAGGUAGAAAUCAAAAAGGAGCAUCAAGUGUUGAUGGUCAACAAGACCACCAGUUUCAAGAAAAAAGGGCAAAGGGAAGAAGAAGGGGAACUUCAAGAAGAACAGCAAACAAGUUGCGGCUCAAGAGAAGAAACCCAAGUCUGGACCUAAGCCCGAGACUGAGUGCUUCUACUGCAAGCAGACUGGACACUUGAAGCGGAACUGCCCCAAGUAUUUGGCGGAUAAGAAGGAUGGCAAGGUGAACAAAGGUAUAUGUGAUAUACAUGUUAUUGAUGUGUACCUUACUAGAGCUCACAGUAGCACCUGGGUAUUUGAUACUGGUUCUGUUGCUAAUAUUUGCAACUCGAAACAGGGAGUACGGAUUAAGCGAAGACUGGCUAAGGACGAGGUGACGAUGCGCGUGGGAAAUGGUUCCAAAGUCGAUGUGAUCGUCGUCAGCACGCUACCUCUACAUCUACCUUCGGGAUUAGUUUUAGACCUAAAUAAUUGUUAUUUGGUGCCAGCGUUAAGCAUGAACAUUAUAUCUGGAUCUUGUUUUAUGCGAGACGGUUAUUCAUUUAAAUCUGAGAAUAAUGGUUGUUCUAUUUAUAUGAGUAAUAUCUUUUAUGGUCAUGCACCCUUGAAGAGUGGUCUAUUUUUGUUGAAUCUCGAUAGUAGUGAUACACAUAUUCAUAAUGUUGAAGCCAAAAGAUGCAGCGUUGAUAAUGAUAGUGCAACUUAUUUGUGGCACUUCCAUUUGGGUCAUAUUGGUGUAAAGCGCAUGAAGAAACUCCAUACUGAUGUACUUUUGGAAUCACUUGAUUAUGAAUCACUUGGUACUUGCGAACCAUGCCUUAUGGGCAAGAUGACUAAAACGCCAUUCUCCGGAACAAUGGAGCGACCAACAGAUUUGUUGGAGAUCAUACAUACUGAUGUAUGUGGUCCGAUGAAUGUUGAGGCUCGCGGCGGGUAUCAUUAUUUUCUCACCUUCACUGAUGAUUUGAGGAGAUAUGGGUAUAUCUACUUAAUGAAACAUAAGUCUGAAACAUUUGAAAAGUUCAAAGAAUUUCAGAGUGAAGUGGAAAAUCAUCGUAACAAGAAAAUAAAGUUUCUACGAUCUGAUCAUGGAGGAGAAUAUUUGAGUUACGAGUUUGGUGUACAUUUGAAACAAUGCGGAAUAGAUUUGCAACUCACGCCACCCGGAACACCGCAGCGUAAUGGUGUGACCGAACGUCGUAAUCGUACUUUACUAGAUAUGGUGCGAUCUAUGAUGUCUCUUACUGAUUUACCGCUAUCAUUUUGGGGUUAUGCUUUAGAGACGGCUGCAUUCACGUUAAAUAGGGCACCAUCGAAAUCCGUUGAGACGACGCCUUAUGAACUAUGGUUUGGAAAGAAACCAAAGUUGUCGUUUCUUAAAGUUUGGUGCUGCGAUGCUUAUGUGAAAAAGCUUCAACCUGAUAAGCUCGAACCCAAAUCGGAGAAAUGUGUCUUCAUAGGAUACCCAAAGGAAACUGUUGGGUACACCUUCUAUCACAGAUCCGAAGGCAAGACAUUCGUUGCUAAGAAUGGAUCUUUUCUAGAGAAGGAGUUUCUCUCAGAAGAAGUGAGUGGGAGGAAAGUAGAACUUGAUGAGGUAACUGUACCUGCUCCCUUAUUGGAAAGUAGUUCAUCACAGAAACCGGUUCCUGUGACACCUACACCAAUUAGUGAGGAAGCUAAUGAUAUUGAUCAUGAAACUUCAGAUCAAGUUACUACUGAACCUCGUAGGUCAACCAGAGUAAGAUCCGCACCAGAGUGGUACGGUAAUCCUAUUCUGGAGGUCAUGUUACUUUACCAAGGCGAACCUACGAAUUAUGAAGAAGCGAUGGUGAGCCCAGAUUCCGGAAAAUGGCUUGAGGCCAUGAAAUUUGAGAUGGGAUCCAUGUAUGAGAACAAAGUGUGGACUUUGGUUGACUUGCCCGAUGAUCGGCAAGCCAUUGAGAAUAAAUGGAUCUUCAAGAAGAAGACUGACGCUGGCGGUAAUGUUACUGUCUAUAAAGCUCGACUUGUUGCGAAAGGUUUUCGACAAGUUCAAGGGAUUGACUACGAUGAGACUUUCUCACCCGUAGCGAUGCUUAAGUCUGUCUGAAUCAUGUUAGCAAUUGCCGCAUUUUAUGAUUAUGAAAUUUGGCAAAUGGAUGUCAAAACUGCAUUCCUGAAUGGAUUUCUAGAAGAAGAGUUGUAUAUGAUGCAACCAGAAGGUUUUGUCAAUCCAAAGGGAGCUAACAAAGUGUGCAAACUCCAGCGAUCCAUUUAUGGACUGGUGCAAGCCUCUCGGAGUUGGAAUAAACGUCUUGAUAGUGUGAUCAAAGCAUAUGGUUUUAUACAGACUUUUGGAGAAGCCUGUAUUUACAAGAAAGUGAGUGGGAGCUCUGUAGCAUUUCUGAUAUUAUAUGUGGAUGACAUAUUGCUGAUUGGAACUGAUAUAGAAUUUCUGGAUAGCAUAAAAGGAUACUUGAAUAAGAGUUUUUCAAUGAAAGACCUCGGUGAAGCUACUUACAUAUUAGGCAUCAAGAUCUAUAGAGAUAGAUCAAGACACUUGAUAGGACUUUCACAAAGCACAUACCUUGACAAAGUUUUGAAGAAGUUCAAAAUGGAUCAAGCAAAGAAAGGGUUCUUGCCUGUGUUACAAGGUGUGAAGUUGAGUCAGACUCAAUGCCUGACCACUACAGAAGAUAGAGAGAAAAUGAAAGAUGUUCCGUAUGCUUCAGCCAUAGGCUCUAUCAUGUAUGCAAUGUUGUAUACCAGACCGGAUGUGUGUCUUGCUAUUAGCCUAGGAGGAAGGUACCAAAGUAAUCCAGGAGUGGAUCACUGGACAGCGGUCAAGAACAUCCUGAAAUACCUGAAAAGGACUAAGGAUACGUUUCUCGUUUAUGGAGGUGACAAAGAGCUAGUCGUAAAUGGUUACGUCGAUGCAAGCUUUGACACUGAUCCGGACGAUUCUAAAUCGCAAACCAGAUACGUAUUUACACUGAACGGUGGAGCUGUCAGUUGGUGCAGUUCUAAACAAAGCGUCGUGGCGGGAUCUACGUGUGAAGCGGAGUACAUAGCUGCUUCAGAAGCAGCAAAUGAAGGAGUCUGGAUGAAGGAGUUCAUAUCCGAUCUAGGUGUCAUACUUAGUGCAUUGGGUCCAAUGAAAAUCUUUUGUGACAAUACUGGUGCAAUUGCCUUGGCAAAGGAAUCCAGAUUUCACAAGAGGACCAAGCACAUGAAGAGACGCUUCAAUUCCAUCCGGGACCAAGUCCAGGUGGGAGACAUAGAGAUUUGCAAGAUACAUACGGAUCUGAAUAUUGCAGACCCAUUGACUAAGCCACUUCCACGAGCAAAACAUGAUCAGCACCAAAACUCCAUGGGUGUUAGAAUCAUUACUGUGUAAUCUAGAUUAUUGACUCUAGUGCAAGUGGGAGGCUGAAGGAAAUAUGCCCUAGAGGCAAUAAUAAAGUUAUUAUUUAUUUCCUCAUAUCAUGAUAAAUGUUUAUUAUUCAUGCUAGAAUUGUAUUAACCGGAAACAUAAUACAUGUGUGAAUACAUAGACAAACAUAGUGUCACUAGUAUGCCUCUACUUGACUAGCUCGUUAAUCGAAGAUGGCUGAGUUUCCUAGCCAUGGACAUGAGUUGUCAUUUGAUUAACGGGGUCACAUCAUUAGGAGAAUGAUGUGAUUGACUUGACCCAUUCCGUUAGCUUAGCACUUGAUCGUUUAGUAUGUUGUUAUUGCUUUCUUCAUGACUUAUACAUGUUCCUAUGACUAUGAGAUUAUGCAACUCCCGUUUAACGGAGGAACACUUUGUGUGCUACCAAACGUCACAACGUAACUGGGUGAUUAUAAAGGUGCUCUAUAGGUGUCUCCGAAGGUACUUGUUGAGUUGGCGUAUUUCGAGAUUAGGAUUUGUCACUCCGAUUGUCGGAGAGGUAUCUCUGGGCCCUCUCGGUAAUGCACAUCACUAUAAGCCUUGCAAGCAAUGUGACUAAUGAGUUAGUUGCGGGAUGAUGCAUUACGGAACGAGUAAAGAGACUUGCCGGUAACGAGAUUGAACUAGGUAUUGAGAUACUGACGAUCGAAUCUCGGGCAAGUAACAUACCGAUGACAAAGGGAACAAUGUAUGUUGUUAUGCGGUUUGACCGAUAAAGAUCUUCGUAGAAUAUGUAGGAGCCAAUAUGAGCAUCUAGGUUCCACUAUUGGUUAUUGACGGAGACGUGUCUCGGUCAUGUCUACAUAGUUCUCGAACCCGUAGGGUCCGCACGCUUAAAGUUUGGUGACGAUCGGUAUUAUGAGUUUUUAUGUUUUGAUGUACCGAAGGUAGUUCGGAGUCCCGGAUAUGAUCACGUACAUGACGAGGAGUCUCGAAAUGGUCGAGACAUAAAGAUCGAUAUAUUGGACGACUAUAUUCGGACACCAGAAGUGUUCCGAGUGGUUUCGGAGAAAGCCGGAGUACCGGGGGGUUACCGGAACCCCCCGGGGAGUUAAUUGGGCCUCAUGGGCCUUAGUGGGAGAAGAGGAGGGGCGGCUAGGGCAGCCGCGCGCCCCCUCCCCCUCUAGUCCGAAUUGGACAAGGAGGGGGGCGGCGCCCCCUUUUACCUUCUCCUCCUCUCUCCCUUCCUUCCCUCUCCUACUCCAACAAGGAAAAGGAGGAGUCCUACUCCCGAUGGGAGUAGGACUCCCCCCUUGGCGCGCCCUCCUCCUGGCCGGCCGCCUCCUCCUUGAUCCUUUAUAUACGGGGGCAGGGGGCACCUCUAGACACACAAGUUGAUCUGUUGAUCUAUUCCAGCCGUGUGCGGUGCCUCCUCCACCAUAUUCCACCUCGGUCAUAUCGUAGCGGUGCUUAGGAGAAGCCCUGUGUCGGUAGCAACAUCAUCACCGUCAUCACGUCGUCGUGCUGACGGAACUCUCCCGUAAAGCUCUGCUGGAUCGAAGUUCGCGGGACGUCAUCGAGCUGAACGUGUGCUGAACUCGGAGGUGCCGUACGUUCGGUGCUUGGAUCGGUCGGAUUGUGAAGACGUACGACUACAUCAACCGCGUUGUGCUAACGCUUCCGCUUUCGGUCUACGAGGGUACGUGGACAACACUCUCCCCUCUCGUUGCUAUGCAUCACCAUGAUCCUGCGUGUGCGUAGAUUUGUUUUUGAAAUUACUACAUUCCCCAACAGGAGUACCUGGGGGGGUAGCAAUGCAGUCAGGUGUUGCGGUGGGCCCUCCUACGAUUGUGGAAGCUUGGUGGUAGGCACAGGCACCCGGCACGCGGCACGCGGCUCCGGGGUGUGCCCCCUCAUGGGCGUCGCUGCGUGUGCCACGUGUCGCGCAGCUGUUGGUCAGCACUUGACGGCGGCCACCGUUAGGCGGGGACGUUGCCGACGGCCGCCCCCGUCGGCAUAGAUGUACGGACACCGUCGGGAUAGGAUCUAUGCCGACGGCCUCCCGGGCUACGCCGAUGGAUAUGUUGCCGACGGCCCUAUGCCGACGGGGGCCGUCGGCAUAGGCCUGUCCCGACAGGAAUCAGGGCUAUGCCGACGGCCAGGGCCAUCGGCAUAGGGCGCGAUUUUGGUAGUGAAGGAUGGGGGAAACGAGUAGCAGUGUUGCACAGAUGUUGUGAAGACCACAUGGUCGAUAUCCUUCUCCUAUGCCCUCCACUCCAGUGGGUGGUGAGCCUGAGGAGGAGGAGGGGGAGGAUGCGCGGUGGCUGGAGGAGGAGGAGGAGGAUGAACCACUGCUGAUUGUUUGUCAGGAUCCACAUGGUGGGCAUGGACCCUCGCGGGUGGGAGCUGAUGAGGAGGAGGGCAAGCAGGGGUUUGCCUAUCACCACUACGGUGACUAUAGUGUCGCCGUGUGGGCCUUCAAAGCUGCCUAGGCAACCAUAUGUGCAUAAACACGUAGUGAGUAAACCAGUUGGAAACAAGUAAGAAGUUCUAUCAAAUCUUAAGAAUUACUAGCUAGUUUUCCUCACCUAGAAUAUUUCAUACAGAAUGACUUAGCUUACUGUGUAGGAGCUUCACAUAUGUUGGAGAGACGCCUCCACCAUGCCCGUCGAGCGGCAUCAUUGGUCUUCGGUGUAAGUUCUAUUACCCUACUUGGUCACUUUGCGGAACAAUACCAGGAAAGCCAGCUUGGUCGUGGGAGCACUAUAAACAUGCUCCGAAUUUCCUGGACACAAAAAGUGGGUGUACGGCAACGCCACCAUACCUCUGACAUACCAUGAAGUCAAUACUAAAUGCUAAAAAAUUGUUGUACUCUUGACUUUAUUCUUUAUGCAUGUAUGCAUGAUUGUAUGAUUUCUUUACUUGCGCCGAGGGCAAGCAAGAUCACACAAAUGUGGUCGUGGAGAAUAUUGUCAAGAUGAUUGUCCACGACAUGCACUAAGAGGAUGCAUCAUGUGCGUGAUCAAGUAUCACGCGGAACAGUGUGUAUUUAUACCUCCUCUCCCAUGCUCUAGCCGUUGGAAUCUAGCACACCUCGAGAGAGAUUUCUUUAACCCCAGGGAGCAACCCCUACACGGGGGAAGGGGGCUCCGGGGUCACAACAAUGGCAUGAAUAUGAGUGAGUUUUAACCCCUAAAGUGAGGUGGCAAAUAGUAUAUGAUGCUGGCUUGAUCCCCACACAUAAACAAUCACCUCAACACAGUCGAUGUCCAUCACCACUGUCCCAUUAUCACCUGUGAUAUUAGGCCACUUAUACAACAAGACGAGCUACAAUCACCUAAUUAAUGCUUUCCCUUUAGAUGCUUAUUGCAUUUUAAAUCGUAGCUCGUGUACGUGUUAAUCUCAUGAUGACAUAUACACCUUUCCUCCCAUUUUAAAUUCAGGCACAUAGAGCAAAUGAGUUACAUCCCGAGUUCAUCAUCGAUGAAGAGCUGAUCGGGGAGCAAAGGAAACUCUCUGGAAAAUUUAUAUCUAGAAAGAGAAGAUGAAAGGUUUUGGAUUAUUAGCAAAGGUACUUAUCUUAUUACUCAGCUAGGCACUUACAAACCUAUUUAUUUACAAGUUCCACAUGGGUCUGGUCAGGAAGACUCGGAAUCAUUCUCACGGCCACCCCACACGGGAGCGGCUUCUCAACGGGUGAGUAACGCGUAAGAACUUGCCCUUGGGAGGGGAACAACAACUGGAAACGGUUGCUAAUAUCCCGUGCUGAGGAGCAAAAGGAGAAAUCCGUCCAAGGAGGGGCUUGCAUCUGAUUAGCUAGUUGGUGAGGUAAUAGCUUAUCAAGGCGAUGAUCAGUAGCUGGUCCGAGAGGAUGAUCAGCCACACUGGGACUGAGACACGGCCCAGACUCCCAUGCACAAACUACAAGUUCGGAUUCAACAUCUAGAAUUUAAAUUUGCUCUUUUGCAGGAAGAUGAUAUAUUUCAUAAUGGUUGAGCCUGUGGAUCUAUUGUGAUCUGUAAGCACGGAAAUGCCAACCCACCACGACUAGUGAAAUGCGAAAGGAUCUUUUUUUUGUCGUGAGACUGUUCUCAUCUCUAUUAUUCGGUAUAUACGAUUUCACUGCUUUGGAGAUUUGUACCUGAGAAAGAUAUCUACUUGUAUAGUCCUCACGCGUGGUAUAUCCGCUAGAUGAUUUGACACUACACACUGGGUUGGGUGUUGUAAUCAAUCACGCGGGUUAAGUGCUUGUGUCAGUGAGAAGUACUAGCCCACACUCAGUGGAGUAAAUAGUAUAAAACUACUAUAAUUUAGGUUAGGAUUUCAAAAAACUAUCAAUUCUUUUUUCACUCGUAACUACCAAGUCAAAAAAACCAAAACGCUCGUUGCCAGCAAUUUAAGCCGUUUUCUGACAAGGCAGUUCCACUCCUAAACAUUCCGUUUGUUUUGUUCGACCGUCAACUUCCAUGUGUGACCCACAUGUAAGUUCUCUCUUCUUCCCCUUAUCUUUUCUUCUCUCCCUUCUCCUCCUGACGAAGGCCCGAGCUCCACCAUCGCACCUCCACCACCGACCACAUGUUAAGCCAGGGCCGACUGUGGGAAGGAGCACCGCACAGAGGAGCAGCUGCCACCCAUGAAUGGGCCGCCGCCAACCGCGCCCAGGAGCAUGGGCUGACGCCAUCCUUGCGCCAUGGUUGAGCCUAUGGAUCUAUUGUGAUCUUGAGCACGGGAAGGACCCGAUGUGUUUUUCUAAAAAGUUGCUGAGACCUGGUUGUUUUUUUCAAAUUUGAUAUGGAUCCGAUUGCUUUUAAAAAAGUUUACAGGGACCCAAUUACUUUAUUAAAAUUUUCAUUAGAUUAUGAGAAAGAGACACUGACAUUUGUGCUUCACAUGUUAGUUAACGGUCAAACAAAUGGUUAUCUUAUAUGUGGGCCUCAACUGUCAUAAUCAUGAUCAAUUGUAAAGCAUGGGGUGAUUUGAGUUUUUUGAAAAGCCGACCUCAGACUUGAUAGUUAUCAACGAAAAAGAACUGGUAGUCUUUUGAAACCCUAAUCUGACUGUACUUAGUUUUAUGCUUUUUACUCCACUCAGUGUGAUGUUCGUCUGGCCGGUAUGAUUGUUGUAAGGAAAAAGAAGAAGCAGCAACAUAGUUUUUUUUUCUUCAGACUUCAUAUUUCUCUCAAGGAUAGAAGUGGCUUACCAGCCCACAGCAUACACCCACUGCCACACAUGGCCCACACAUAAAUCAGCCCGCUCGACUGCGCCAUCAUAUUACCCGUUUCUGAGUCAUGGUGGCGCCAUCCCGCGUCUACAUCUUUUUUUGAACACAGUACAGACGCAAGCGCUCAUAUACACGUGCAUACACUCAUCUCUAUGAACGCACACACGCACACCCUACCCCUAUGAGCACCUCCGAAAGACUGAGCUGGCAUAUCAUCUUGAAAUUUACGAAGUCGCCGUAGGCACCUCGUCGUCGACGGGACCGUCUCUUCCCACUGAAUGCGCAUCGCCGGAAAUCCUAAAAUAAUCCAGAAAUAAAUGCGAGCACCGGGACUUGAACCCUGAUGGGCUGGGAAUACCACAUUCACUCUGACAUCCAAGCGGUUGGUUCGCCCGCGUCUACGUCUUUGCAUCGUUGCCAUCAGGUGUGUGUGUGUGACACUGGAACACCUCCUCUCACGCGCGUCCAGAUCCUGUCACCCCGUCCGCCAUUGCGCCACCAAUGGCGCUAGUGCGAGAGCGGUGACCCAGCCUACCGCGGCGUGCGGAAGAGCGCGCGCCCCUCUGCGUGGCCGUCCACUGCGCGUUCGCGCCCUUCAGGUGUUCGAGGGAAUGCCCGGCCGGAGAACCCGCCCAGGGUGCACGAGCGGGUGGCUGUCGCGCAAGCAGCUACAUCAGCAAUCUCCAUCUCAAUGUCCUGUUGAGUGACGGACUGAUGUCAUGGGCCCUGGCGUCUCACGCAGUUCAGGUCCGAGCUGGUCAGACACAGAGGUAAAGGGACUGGUAGGUAUCUCACAUGUUGCUUCCCUUCCUGGCCAGAUUACCCAUGUCUACAGACAAGCAAAUGCGUUUGUUUGGUUAUGGUUCCUACUACGUUCGGAUUUUGGAACUAUAUCAUACACAGGAUGGUAAUCUGGAAAAUUCUAGGGAUACAAAGGUGUGCAUUUUGGGGAUCGAAACCAUAAACUUGCCGCCUCAGCUCUAUCGUAGAUUUGGGGAAUUUUGGGUUGUACUAGCUUGGGAGAUUUUGCAUUGUUUCCCCUACUCCAUGUGCCAAAAAUGGUCUCUCACUCUCUCUCUCUCUCUCUACAUACGAACUGAAAUGAGUGAACAAAUGCACCAAAAUGUGUCUAUGUUCAUUCAAAUAGCCUAGCGCCAUAUGCAGUAUAUAAUUAUCUGGAACUACCAAGGCUAGCGCUAGCAUGUCCCUUUGUGAUGUUUGUUCUGUACUGCUUGUACCAUUUGUCUAAUAUGUGACAUAUGAUGUAUUAGGUGUUUAGCGCGUCCACGGAUUCCACGCUGCUAUAGACUAAUGCUCAUUACUCUCUGUUCUCUAGACACUCAAUUUCCAUGAAAGUGCUCUGUAGUUGGUAUGUAAACAUCAUGAGCUAAUAUGUUUUACAUGGCUGACAGCUAUGUUAUGUUUCAUUAGUAAAGAGUAGUGCAUUGCACAGUCAGCACAGCCAAAUACACGGUUAAUUAAUGCAACUGUGGAGCCAAGGCUUGACCCAAGGGCUUCCAUAGUUCCACCUCUGUGCAGACCCGCUUCGAGCUACCAAGUGGGGCCUGCGCGUCAGCUGAAUGAUCCUAGUUUUACUUGGUAAGUUAGCUUCUUUUGGUGCAUAGUUUGACUCUCUCUCCCAUUUUCUGCCUGCCUAGCUUUCUGCCUUCCGAGCUGCUUCCUUUUGAUGCAUUAUUGCUCUCCUUUCCUCUGAAUCCAUCUGUUUGGUUUCUCCCUUGCUCCUGCCAUUGCUGGGCUACUAGGCGUGUGGGGAGAUGACGGGAUUGCUUGGCACGGUGAUUGAUGCAGCAAUAGGAUGGCUGGUGCAAAGCACCCUUGAGAGCUUCUUCACUGGGCAGAUGGAAGCCUGGACUCGUGAAAUCGGGAUUGCUGAAGAUGUGGAGAAGCUCAAAUUGCAGAUGAGGUAUGUGGAGAUGGUUCUUGCUGCUGCCAAGGGAAGGAGGAUUGACAACAUGCCUCUGGCCCAGUCACUAGAUGAUCUCAGAGAUCUGCUUUAUGACUCAGAGGACGUGAUGGAUGAGCUUGAUUACUACCGACUCGAGCAACAGAUAAAAGGUGUUUCACUUGUCUCUCCUGCUCCAUGUUUCUUGCUUUCAGCUUAUGUUAUAUUGGUGUGAUUGUUAGCGCUGCUCGGCUUAUAGUUUAAUAUGCAACCAAAACAGCUGAAUAUCGUAGGCACCGCCCCUCAGAUUAUCUCUUGCUUCACUGUGAUAUUUUUUCAAUGAUUCAACUUUUUCUUUCCUAGGCGAAAGGUAGAGGAGUCUUUACCUUAUGAAACUUCUUAUAACUAUUUGCAGUUACAUGAUAAUAUCUUCUUUUGUUUGAGUGGUUUUAAUUUGCUUGUCCCUAAAUAACCAAGAGUUCCUUAUGCAGGAAAAGAUUGUAGUACUCUCAGUGACAGUGGCGCUAAUCCUGAGGGAAGCUAUGUGUCCUCAUCCAGUCCAUCUUCUGUUUUUGAAUUCGUAUACAAAGCCACAAGCCAAAUAACUAGUUGGGCCUUGUCCGGCAGAAAAAGGAAACGUGAAGAGGACCAGCCAGCUCAUAGCACCAUGCUACCUCUUGAGAUUAAACAUGACAUUUCUAAGAGGAUCAAUGUAAUAGUGGAUAAAUUAUGCACUAUAGGCAAUUCUGUGCAGAGAGUUCUCCAAGUCGAUAUCUCAUGUCCCAUUGCAACAUCAAGUGAGAGCCAGAAUACUGCUAGGAAUCCUCGCAUGACAACUUCUGUUCCAAUUGAAUCUAAGGUGUACGGGAGGGAUGCAGAGAGAGAUAAGAUAAUAAAGCUGCUGAUAAACGGGAAAUCUAGUGAUCUCAAUGUUUUGCCAUUAGUUGGCGUCAUUGGUGGUGUUGGGAAGACGACACUUGCCAGGUUUGUAUACCAUGAUCAAAGAAUUAUAGAUCAUUUUGAUCUUCAAAUUUGGGUUUGUGUGUCCACUGACUUUAAUGAAGUGAGGCUAACAAGUAACACGUGAGAUCCUAGAGCAUGUGUGUGAAGAUAGACAAGAGUAUGAAAAAGUUAGCAAUCCAGAUGUGCUGCAGAACAUCCUUUUGAAAUAUAUUAGAUACAAAAGAUUUCUUCUCGUAUUGGACGAUAUGUGGGAAGAAAAAGACAGGAUUGGAUGGAUUAAUUUGCUGGCUCUGUUGAGAAAUAAUCAAGCAAUCGGCUGCAUGAUUUUAGCAACAACAAGAAGGAAAUCAGUCGCAAAAAUGAUAAGAACAAUGGCUGAUGUUAAAGUUAAUGGUCUGGAUAGCAAGAACUUCUGGCUUUUCUUCAGAGCUUGUGCAUUUGGUGAUGCGAGUUACGAGGGCAGUCCUAGUUUACAAUCUAUUGGGAAAGAGAUUGCCAAAGCACUAAAGGGCUGCCCAUUGGCUGCACGAAGUGUUGGUGCACUUCUAAAAACAGAUCGUAGAUAUCAGCAUUGGGUGACAGUUCGGGACAAAUGGAAAUCUCUUGAAGUUGCUGAUGAUAUUUUACCCAUCUUGAAGCUCAGUUAUGAUUAUCUACCGGUUCACCUUCAGCGUUGUUUCUUGUACUGCUCUUUGUUUCCAGAGGACUACCGGUUUUCUUGCAGAAAAUUGGUUCGUGCUUGGAUAUCACAAAAUUUUGUGCAGUGCAAAGGCCCUACCAUGAGACUGGAGGAAACAGGGCAGAAAUAUUUUGGUAGAUUAGUUGAUUUGGGCUUUUUCCAGAAGGAAGGCUCGUACCAUGUUAUGCAUGAUCUAAUGCAUGAAUUGGCAGGGAGGGUUUCAUCAAACGAGUGUGCUACUAUAGAUGGAUUGAAAUCUGAGGCAAUUCAACCAAGUGUUCGCCAUUUGUCAAUCAUAACUACUGCUUUUGAUACAGAUAAAUGUGGCAGUUUUCCCAUUGAGAAGUUUGACAAAAUACUUCAGAAGUCUGGGCCUUUGCAAAAAUUGAGGACCUUGAUGUUGUUUGGGAGAAGCAGCAUAAAUUUAUUAGGGUCCUUGCGUAUUUUAUGCAAGAAUGCAAAAUAUAUACGGUUCCUAAGAAUUUAUGUGACAUAUGCUGACAUCAGCUCUAUACACAGUUCGUUAAAUCCCUGCCAUCUUCGCUAUCUUGAAUUUAUUUGUGUGCGCACGAAGAAUAUUGCAGUAUAUGGAGUCUACAACAACACUGUGUUUCCUCAAGCAUUGACAAGAUUUUAUCACCUUCAAGUAUUGAAUGCGGGUAUUUCAUUUUCAGGCAAUCUUGCUUUGCCUUCUGAUAUGCAUAAUCUCGUUAAUUUGCGAUGUCUUAUUUCUCAUGAGAAAGUGCAGCAUGCAAUAGCUAGUGUUGGCAACAUGACCUCUCUCCGGGAACUAAGUUUCAAGGUUCAAAAUGUUGGCAGCUUUGAGAUAGGACAACUUCAGUCCAUGAAUGAGCUUGUAUAUCUUGAAAUUUCUCAACUUCAAAAUGUGAAGACAAAAGAAGAGGCUAGUGGGGCCAGACUGUUAGACAAAGAGUAUCUAGAAUUUUUGUCCUUAUCAUGGGAGGAUAGCAGUACGAACCUUGAGCAUGACACUGCAAAAGAUGUGCUUGAAGGUCUUCAACCACGUCAGAACCUGAAACUGUUAAAAAUAUCUGGAUAUGGCGGUGCUACCUCGCCAACCUGGCUUUCCAGUACUUUGUCAAUUACCUCACUGCAGGUACUUCAUCUAGAGAAGUGCAGGGAAUGGCAAGUUCUCACAUCUCUGGAAAUGCUUCCUUCCCUUAGGAAGCUGACACUGAUCAGGAUGUUGAAUUUAAUGGAAAUCUCAGUUCCUUCCUUGGAAGAGUUGAUUUUGAUUGAUCUGCCAAAAUUGGAAAAAUGUAUUGGUUCUUAUGGAAUGGAAUUGACCUCCCAUCCAAGGGUUUUGAUGAUCAAGAACUGCCCUCAACUGAAUGAGUUCUCUCUUUUUCAGAGUUACUCUUCUUUUGACGCUGAGCAGAAGUCAUGGUUUCCAUCUCUCAGGAAGCUCACCAUCAUGCGUUGUCCUCAUAUAAUGUAGUGAUCUUGUUCUCCCUAAUUUUUCCUGUUUGGUACAUUUACAAUAUAUUAGGCACUUACUUUGAUGAAUGAUGUUGCAGUAACUGGGAAAUCCUUCCACUAAAAGAAAUGGGGGCGCUCAAGGAGUUGGAGUUGAUGGACCUGCAUGUUGUGAGAGAAUUGACAGUCCGUUCUCUGGAGAAGUUGGUGUUGAUUAAAAUGGCAAGCCUGGGAGUUUGCAACAGCCUAAAGACCUCUCCACCUCUGCAUAUUUUGCCUUCCCGAAGAGAUGAAAAUAAAUGGCGAUCUAGUCUGUGUAGACUCACCAUCCAUGAUUGCCCUUCUAUGAUGGUGUCACAUCCUCGUCGGCCUUGUGCCUUAAUUUCUGAGUUGUCCGUCAGGGGAGUUCCGACACUCCCAACAAUGAGGAUGAAUCAGAGACGGUUCAAAAUCGAAUCUAAUGAGUCCAGUGUGUUGCAUGGACGUGUCUUACCAUUUCAUAUUCUUAGGGGCAUAACAACGUUGCAGAUAGAAAAUUGUCCAAACCUGGUCUCUCUUUCAAGUAAAGCUUUCAGCCAGCUCAUUGCUUUAGUUCGUUUACGUAUACACAACUGUCCUAACCUGACCAUGUCAAACAUUAUGUCAGAGGUUUCCCUCGAAAAAAGGAAAGAAAAAUCAUGCAGUUUUUUCCUCCCAUCUCUCAAAUCGCUCAGUAUUAGGACAUGUGGCAUAACAGGGAGGUGGUUAACUCAAAUGCUUGCACAUUUGCUGUCCCUUGAGGAGCUGAAAUUAACUGAAUGUCCACAGAUAAAGUUUCUAUCAAUCAGUCAACCUACAGAAACGGAAGGAACCAGCAGUUUGGCUUCAGCAGUGAUGAUCUCGGCCCAAGAUGAACAUGAAUUGAAACUGCCAUAUAAUCUGCAAUGCUCUCUCAAGAAGUUAUGGAUUCAGAUGAGCCUGGAUAUGGAGUUCUGUGGGGGUAGCAGAGGUCUCACGGGAUUCACCUCUCUUACUGAGCUAGUCCUUGAUCGUUGCCCCAAGCUGGUUUCAUUGUUGGUGGGUGAAACGAAAGAUGAUGGUAUCAUGGAAGUUGGAUUACUCCCACCAUCACUUGAAGAACUUUGGAUCCAUACUUUCCCAGAAAACCUGCAGUCUUUCAGUCCUGAAGGCAUUCGCUCCCUCAAAAGGUUAAUUCUGAUACAUGCACCGCGUUUGAAGUCUGCACUGUUGCAUUCCUGUACAGGCCUAGAGGAGCUGCGAAUCACGGGGUGUGCCCAGCUGGCUGUACUGGACAGCUUGCAGUUCCUCACCUCCCUUCGAAGCUUGGAUAUCAAGAUGAACCCCGAGCUGUCCUCUGAAUGGGAUCUCAAACUGCAGGAGCAAGAACAGGGUGGCAAUCAAAUUCAGCUGCUUCCUCCGUCACUUGACAAACUUGUGAUAAUGGCUCUCACGGACAGCUUCCAAUCUCAUCUUCUGCCCUGCCUCCCCUCCAUCACUGUAUUAAAAAUACAUAGAAGUCCAGAAUUGACGUCCCUACAGCUGAGAUGCUGCACGACACUGAAAGAGUUGGAAAUUGAAGAGUGUGUCUCGCUUGCAUCAGUCGAGGGCUUCCAGUUCAUUAGAAACCUGACAUCCCUGAAAGUAUCUGGCUCUCCCGGCGUAGCUUCCUGGUCGGAGCUUGUGUCGCACCAGCAAGGGGCCUCUGAGAUCUGGUCUGGACUGGAAACUCUUUGGAUUAGUGACGCAUCUGUCCUUUGCAUGCCCUUCUGCAAACAGCUGACAUCUUUAAGACACCUACAGUUUGGCUAUUGGGGUCGUAAACAAGGAGAGAGUGUAGUGAGCCUAACAGAAGAACAAGAGAAAGCGUUACAGCUUCUAACCUCACUCCAAGAACUUAAAUUUUUGAGAUGCCCGGAACUCUCAUCACUUCCUGCAAACCUACAUAGGCUGACCUCCCUCAAGACAUUAUCUAUCAUGCACUGUAAGAGCAUCACAAGGCUGCCAGACAUGGGCCUCCCAACUUCACUCAGGUGCCUUAAGUUAUACAAUUGCAGUGAGGAGCUAGGCAUACAGUGCAGAAUUGCAGCAACGGAGAAGCUAACGGUCAUGAUUGAUCAUCAGGAUGUGAAUUAAUCACCAGUAUCUACUUCUAAGGUACACUUUCGGGGCAUUUUGCCUAUAUAAUUAGUUUACAUGCUCACCCUCUUGCUAAAAGCAAUUCAUCUCUCUGCAGACUGCAGCCACCCGAGAUGUUGUACAUAUUUCCGCGCUCUCUGUCACCGAUGCAUUUGUGCAAGUGGCAUAUAUAUACCCAUUUGGCUUUCCACAAGCUACUCUAGCUGCAUGAUGGAUGGACCCAGGAAACCAUGUUGAAAGUACCAACUCUUUUUGUUUAUCAGGGGCAUUAUGAAUUUUCGCACAUUCUUGUGUCUUUGCUGGCUGGCUAUGAGCUAUGCUGUAGCAAGCCUUACCAUAUGGUAUGUUUUUCGCUUUUAGUUUUAUAUCCUGGUUAGAUUUGUUAGUGGCUCAGUGCUGUAGUUGUUGGUGAUAUUAUUUGCUGAAGCAUUGUUAUUUUGGUAGUUGCUCAAGCAUUGUUAUUUUUUGCCAGGUUUGUUAUUCAGUAAAAUCGGCAGCGGACCGCUGGAUCCCAACCUCACAUAGGAAGCUAUCAUGUUAAAUGUGUGAUGGCUACACAUUAGUUUGCUGGUUGCCUGGCCCUACCAUUUCUGGUAUGUCCAGUUUAUUGUUUGUUUAUUGUUGCCGUAACUAACACUUGAGUGCACCUUCUCUGUUUCAUCAGUCAUACCUUAUUGUAGAGGCGUGUGUUUGCCUGAUUUUAAAUGUUGAUCACGUGUUUCAGCUCUCAACAUGUUAUAUCGUAGUGAAAAAGAAAAGAAAGAAAGUGUGUUGUAAAAACAAAUAAAAUUGUAAGUAUUUAUUAUGAAUCUUACACCACUCACCCUUCUGUUAACACCUGCGUCCUGUAACUCUAUAAGCAGAAUAGAAUUACAGUGCCGUACGCAGAUCAGAUCGUACAAAAAUCAUCACACGUGUAGCAGAACCCCAAGCAGAAUCAAGUAGGAGCUUAUUUGGUUAUUGUUUCACAUUUGUUAAUCUGGUGCCUGCGACACACAUCUAAUCUAAGUAGGAUGAAUUUACUGAUGAGCCGCUAAUCAUGGUGUCAGGUGUGCUGGUGUGGAUUGGCAGUUGAGCCAUGUCCAAGAACAUCUGAAGACAGUACAGUAAUCAAAUCAGUCGGUGACAAUCUGUGACGAAAACUGGAGGCUGAAGUCGAAGGUGGGGUGGACUGUUAUACGAACUGCAGCCUAGCAAAUACGAGUAUGUUCGAACUCUGAACUCCAUGGAGUUUCAUGGCAUUAAUUCAAGAGCAAAUUAAUGAAGAUCAAUAGCGAGUGAAGUUGUAUUGGCAGUUUGGCACGCCAUCAUUAAUUUGCAAACGCACCGUCUCGUUUUGCUUCCUCCAUCACCUGAUCGGCUCACGACCUCCAUCUCCUCCUCUGCUGCCUCCAGGCAGCAGCAGAUCGAUCGUCGAGAGCCUCCUCACUUAUCAGCAGCAGAUCGAUCGUCGAGAGCCUCCUCACCGAACAAAGCUCGAUCAAGGGAGGCCUGGACGCCCGAAAGCUGGCCAGGCUCGACGGCAGGGAGGCUCGAUUGGUCACGAGGUGAGGACGGUUGAGGUCGCUGAGCUGAAACUGCAGGCAUGUACAGCCCUCCCAUUUACUGUUUGAAGGGACGUACUCUUCUAGGAGUAGUGCUGAAGAACACCUAGUAGAAUGCUACGUACCCUUGCGGGUGGGAAGGCGAUGCUAUUGCUAGGUGCGUCGGACUGUAGCGGGCAAUGAAGUGUUGUGGCCUGUGCAUAAACAUCAUGCCACCAUGAUAAAUUCUCUCACACUAUUACUAUCUGAUUCAUAAGGACAUCGUUUGCAUUGUUUGUUCAUCAGUUUUUUUAAUUCAAACAGGGCACUUGAAUGUUUGAAGUCAUCGGCACUUGGAAUCUUCGGCCAACCAGGGCUAACUGAUUAGUGACGACUGAUGAGAUGACCGCACAUUUUGCUUGCUUGAUGGCAGGCGCUACCACUUCAGGUACGCUCUGUUCAUUGCUUUGUUUAUCAUCACCUCAACACAAUGCCGGUGCACAGUUCUUGAUUCAUUUUGCGUACCUUAUCCUACAUUCAUGUAUUGUAUAUGUUUUUUCUAGCUUCCGACCAAAUUAUAUCAUAGUGAAAGACCGUACAUAUUUCAAAAUUUCUGAAGCAUGAAACAUGCAUCUAACCUAAGUAGGAUGAAUUUGCUAACCUCUGAAUCACUGUGAUGGUGUCAGGUGUGGUGUCAAUCGGGCCAUGUCCAAGAAAAGCUGAGGACGGUAACGAUGUCCGACGAAAAGUUUAGGCUGAAGUGCAACAUUAGCCUGGGCAGGGUCGCUGACAAUCACCUGUGUCACAUCCUACUGAGGACCAGACUUGUAUAUCGAAGAAACCACAAAUCUAGUACAGAGAUAAGCUCUGUUCAUUGCCUUGUUUAUCAUCACAAAUAUGGAAAGUUGGAAUCUUCGGUCAACCAGGGCUAACUGAUUGGUAAUGACUGAUGAGAUGACCACACAUUUUGCUUGAUGGCAGGCGCUACCACUUCAGGUACGCUCUGUUCAUUGCCUUGUUUAUCAUCACCCUCACCACGACUCCAGUGCACAGUUCUUGCUUCAUUUUGCGUACUUUAUCCUACAUUCAUAUUGUAUAUGGUGGAUGUUUUUUCUAGCUUCCGACCAAAUUAUCUCGUAGUGAAAGAUCAUACAUAUUUCAGAAUUUCUGAAGCAGGAAACAUGCAUCUACUAACCUAAGUAGGAUGAAUUUACUGACCGCCGGAUCGCUGUGAUGGUGUCAGAUGUGGUGGCAAUCGGGCCAUGUCCAAGAAAAGCUGAGGAUUGUACAGCAAUCAGGGGGCGACGAUGUCCAACGAGAACUGUAGGCUGAAGUCCAACAGCGGCCUGGGCAGGGUCGCUGAGACGCUGACAAUGACCUGCAUCACAUCCUACUGAAGACCAGACUUGUAAAUCAAAGAAAUCACAAAUCUAGUACAGAGAUAAGCUCUUGAUGUGGAGACCCUUUGAUUAAUUGGGGAAUUUUCUGCAGUUGCUAAGGGAAUAUACAGGGAUUUGAUAGUUCAGUACAUUCGAUAUAUAUAUAAGCACUCACUCACAUGCAGGCACUUAUAUAGUGAGUUACAGCCGCGGUAAAUAAUUGAUUGAUGAAAGUAAACAGUGAUUAAGCGGGGCAAAAGUAAUACUAGUUUAGUCAUUGGUCCCGAUCCACCGUUUAUCUCAUCAUUGUCAACCUCCACUGUAGGAUCUUCUUAACUAUAGCUGAACCGGUAUACCACAGUUAACUGAAUAACAUGACACUUGCAGAAUAGGAUUCAGCUGACAGUACCUCCCUUGAAGAACAUACUACUUGAGUACUUGACCUCAAGUACUAUAAUGAAGCGGGAACUAUGCUUUGAUGGUGCUUGCAAAGAAGUUGGGGAACACCCAUUUCAUGAAGUUUGCAUGUUUCCAAGUGGGGUCUUCUGGUUUGAGAUUUUCCCACUCCACUAGUCACUGAGUGCUAGGGGCUCAGUCUUGAUUCUGUCAUCUUCACCCACUGAAGGUAGAUCUGAGUUGGGUACUGCAUGUGUGCCGAAUUGCUUCAGUUGACUGACAUGAAACAUAGGGUGAAUGCCCCCAUUCAGAGGGAGCUGCAAUUUACAAGCCCCGCUGUCAAUUCUCUAAAAUUUUGUAGGCCAUAAAACUUGGUAGCGAGCUUGAUGUCUUGUCUUGCCCUAAAAGUUGUCAUUAUGUAUGGUUGCAUUUUGAGAUACUAGACCAUAUGUAUUCUCAAGCACUGGUUAAACAAAACAAAAGUAUAGAAAAAAGAAACAUAAAUCUUUCUGAACAGAAGCAGAACGAGAUUUUCGGAUGUUAGUCAUGCAGAAAUGAAAAGUUCGAAGGCUGCGAAAAAUCUCAUUUGUCAUUCGUAUGUAGCCGACCCAGCUUAGCGCGCUACACUUGUAGUCCAACGUAAUCCUAUCCACUAAAACCUAAUCCAUCGUACUGCCUUGAUCCUCGCCCCUAUGAUCGACUUCAAGGCUUCCACUCCUAUCCUCCACGCAUGCUCACGAGCGAUCUUCUCUUCGGCGUGUGCCAUUGCACAACUUUGUUGGUUUUGGUUAUGUUGUAUUUUUCUGUAUGCUCUAGAGAUUUUCGAGUUCUAGCACCUUUGUAUUUCAUGCCCACCAUAUAGUUAACUUAGUAUUCGUUUUCGACUAUAUCCGCUUACACAUUUGCUUUCUGAAUUUCCAUGGUGGUGGCAGUUUCCACUGAAAAAAGACGGAAACAACUCAGUUUCGUUCAUUUUCGUUUUGCUUCCAACCCCUACGUGCUUGAGUUGAAUAUAUGUCCUUACAUUUCCACUGCUAUAUAAUCAAAUGGAAGAUUUCCCUGCCACCAAGGAUAAGGACAGUGACAGUGACACACAAGCUUGUGCUUUGUAGGCAUCACCCGAUCGGACUUUUCCAAUUACCAUUUUUUUCUUUGCGGGGUUCCAAUUACCAUUUUGAGCGACAGUCGAUCGGUUGCUCCUGCCAGAUCCAGUAAACCUAAUUAAUCCCGAGCGACCCGUUUUUGCACGAUGGAGGAGCUAGUGGUGACUGUAGAGCAAAUAUGCAUGGUAGGUGCGGUUCAUUUGUGUCCACCCAACGACGGCACUCUUAUUUUCGUUGAGAACACCAAAGGAGACAAAUUAGUACUUAUACGUCUCUGGUUUAUCGUGAACUUUUUUCUUGCGAUGGUACUUUCCGUUAUAUAGAGUAGUUAAUAGUUUGAAAGUUCCUACCGUGCGCUCGAUCAACUUACGUGACAUGCCACUGGUUGUAGUGGCUGUAAAGAUUUCUAUACCCCCUUUCAGUUCUUUGCAACAUUGAAAGACAGCACUGGUCGAUGAUAACAAAGGAAUUAAGUGCACCGAGUAGAAACUAGGCUAUUAAGUGCACCAAUGUGAUUUUAUUCCACGAUAACAGAUAAAGUGGGCGGUAUUAAUACGGGACAUAGUACAUACAAACAUUCAAGAACACGGAGGGGAUGCAUGUGUUCUCCAAGGUCGCUGUGCAACGCGCACGUAUGCGUACGCGCAUAUAUGCACCUUCCCUUCGUUCACCAGGGACCAUGUUUAUUUACGAGUAAUUUAAUUCUUAUGCACGUAGGCGCGCAGAGCAACGGCAUGCACGUAGAGCUCGACGCAGGGUAGCUAAGCACUGGGCGGCAGUACUGCCUACCGUACGUACGUACGUAUGCAUGGCUGCAUUGUUGCGUGUGCUCCUCUCAGUUGCGGACCUCCGCCCGGUACAUGGGCUCCGGAACCUCGUCCGCGCGCGCACAGCAGCGGCAGCCAUGGUGAUGGAAGAGCCCGUGCCCGCAGCAGCCCCAGUGACAUCCGCCGCCGCCGUAGCCUCCGCCGCCUUUUCCGCCAUGGCCAGGGUAGCCGCCACCGCCACCGUAGCCUCCUCCGCCGCCUGGGUAGCCGCCGCCN